rnacentral:lncRNA from 1 species
UUACAUUUGUGUCACAUAUCAGCAACAACUUCCGAUGAAAACUCCUCUGCUUUCAUGGCUUUUCUUACUCCGCAUUUGCUAUGUUUCACUCACCUUCCAUACGUUUGUGGUCUCUACCCAAUGUCCCGGCGAUCAGAAAUCUUUGCUGCUACAAUUGAAGGACACCCUCGCAUUUGACCCUGCAACGUCUCAAAAACUUGUGAAGUGGAACAAUGCCUCGGACUACUGCUCUUGGGAAGGAGUGUCCUGCAAAGAGGGUUGUGUUUCGAAUCUGGACUUGAGCAACGAGUGGAUUACUGGUGGACUUGAUAAUUCCAGUCCUCUUUUCGGUCUGAAGUCGAUCGAGAACCUGAAUUUGGCUCACAACUUCUUCAACUACACUCAGAUUCCUUCCGAGUUCAAACAGCUAGCCGGUUUGCGUAACCUGAACUUGUCGAAAGCUAAAUUUGCAGGGAAGGUUCCGAUUGAGAUUUCGCACUUGACGAGGUUGGUAACUCUCGAUUUGUCUACCCUCGACAAUCCGUUGCUAAAACUUGAGAUGCCGAAUUUGAAAGUGCUCAUUCGGAACUUUUCUGAGCUUGUUGAACUUUAUCUUGAUGGCGUGAAUAUAUCAGCACAGGGGACUGAAUGGUGCCAAGCUAUAUCAUCUUCACUGCCAAAAUUGAGGGUGCUGAGCUUGUCCGCUUGUUCUCUUUCAGGCCCUAUUGAUAGUUCAUUACUGAAGCUUCAAUCGCUCUCGGUUAUUCGUUUAGAUGGCAAUGAUUUCUCUAUUCAAGUUCCGGAGUUCUUCUCAAAGUUCCCAAAUUUGACUUCCUUGCACCUAAGCUAUUCUGGCUUAUAUGGUACAUUCCCAGAGAAGAUCUUCCAGGUACCUACACUACAGACUAUUGACUUAUCUUGGAAUCCGCAGCUUCAGGGUUCCUUACCAGAAUUUCCAAAGAAUGCUUCUCUUCGGUCCUUGGUUCUAUGCGGGGCUAACUUUUCAGGCCAGUUGCUUCCGAACUCUAUUGGCAACCUCAAAAUGUUGUCCGAGGUAGAUAUUCGGUGGUGCAAUUUCACUGGAUCAAUCCCAAGGUCAAUAGAAGAUCUUCAUCAAUUGGUUUCUUUUGACUUGUCAUCAAACAAGUUCAACGGUUCAAUUCCAUCCUUCAGUAUGGCCAACAAUCUGACCGUGAUCAAUCUUUUUGACAAUCAGCUGACAGGUCAGAUUAAUUCCACUCACUGGGAAAAUCUCACUAAUCUGGUGAAUCUCAAUUUGAGAUCCAAUCAACUAGAUGGGACUAUUCCGUCAUCUCUGUUUUCUCUUCCCAUGCUGCAAGAUUUAGAGCUUUCUAACAAUCACUUCUCCGGCCAGUUACCUGAAUUUGGUAAUUUUUCUUCCCUACGAGUCCUUGAUUUGAGUAGCAAUAGUUUGGAAGGGCCUAUACCCAUGUCCAUCUUUAAUCUACGAGAGCUUAUUUUUCUCUCACUUUCUUCAAACAACUUCAGUGGGUCCUUUCUGCUUAAUGAUAUUCAACAACUGAAAAAUCUCUUAAGUCUUGAUCUUUCAUACAAUAGCUUGCUAAUUAAUUAUGACAGUUCCAAUUCCUCCUGCUUUCCUCAACUUCUCUUAUUGAAAUUAGCCGCUGGAAAGUUGAGAACCUUUCCUGAUUUCUUGAGAAAUCAAUCGGCAUUAGGCGCUUUGGACCUAUCCCUAAACCAGAUUCAUGGGGAGAUACCCAACUGGAUUUGGAGGCUCAGUAAUCUUGUUCAACUAAAUCUUUCUUGCAACUCUCUGGUAAAUCUACCAGGUCCUUUCCUCAAUCUUACUUCUUCUUAUGUGCUUGAUAUUGACCUUCAUUCCAACCAGCUUCAGGGACCAAUUCCAAUUGUUUCACCAUCUUCCGCUUAUCUGGAUUACUCAAGAAAUAAUUUCAGCUCAAGCAUACCGGCAGAAAUUGGUGAUUUCCUUGUGAACACUAUGUUCUUCUCUCUUGCAAGUAAUCACAUCCACGGGAUCAUUCCAGAAUCAGUAUGCAAGGCGACAUCUCUUAAAGUUCUUGAUCUGUCCAAUAAUUCCUUAAGUGGCAUGAUUCCCCAGUGCUUGACUGCAAUAAACGGGCCUCUUGCAGUACUUGAUUUAAGGAGAAACAAACUUUCUGGCACUCUUCCAGAUAAUUUUCCUGAGAACUGUAGUCUACACACUCUAGACCUCAAUGGCAAUGUGAUUGGUGGUCAGUUCCCAAAAUCUCUAGCCAACUGCACAAUGUUAGAGGUGUUAAACCUGGGAAACAAUCAGAUAACAGAUGUCUUUCCAUGCUCAUUGAAGAGCAUAUCCAGCUUGCGUGUACUUGUCUUGCGUUUCAACAAAUUUUAUGAUCGCAUUGAAUGCCACAAGACUAAAAGUGCCUGGCCAAAGCUUCAAAUUAUUGACAUAGCUCGCAACAAUUUUACUGGCGAAAUACCAGGAAGUUUUUUUAAAAGGUGGCAAGCAAUGAUGGCUGACAAAGAUGGUGCCGUGUCAAAGAUUAAUCACCUCCAAUUUCAAGUUGUAGACUUCGGCCAGGUGUACUAUCAGGAUACCGUAACAGUUACCAUCAAAGGUCUAGCUAUGGAAUUUGUAAAGAUCUUAACAGUCUUCACUUCAAUUGACAUCUCCUGCAACAAUUUUAACGGAUCAAUACCUGAGGAAGUGGGAAUGCUCAAAUCACUUCAUGGCCUAAACUUGUCCAGUAAUGCUCUCACAGGCGCAAUCCCAUCAUCACUAGGUAAUCUAGGACAGCUUGAGUCCUUAGACCUUUCGGACAACAAAUUGAGCGGAACAAUUCCAUCACAACUUUCCAAACUUAAUUUCCUCUCAUUCCUAAAUCUGUCGAGCAAUCAACUUGUCGGGAAGAUUCCAACCGGCACUCAGAUUCAGACUUUUUCAGCAGAUUCUUUCGCAGGCAAUAAAGGAUUAUAUGGGCCACCGUUAGAUAACGGAUCACCAAUGUUGCCACCAACAUUAGAAGGCAAACAUUCUAAUUCUGCGCACAGAAUUGAUUGGGAUCUUAUCAGUGUUGAAGUUGGAUUUAUUGUUGGCUUUGGAGCUGCGGUCGGGUCACUUGUGUUGUGCAAGAGAUGGAGUAAAUGGUAUUACAAAACAAUGUAUAAAAUCCUUGUAAAGAUAUUCCCUUAGCUUGAAGAUAGAAUUGGUCCUCACCGAAGACAUGUCCACAUAAAUCAGAGGUUCGGACGUUGAAGUUAAUGAUCAUGGGGACCAAUGCAGCUGGACCUCAAGCUAUGCCUGGGGAAUUUGAGAUCCAACAAAUAAGAGGUUUGCUUUUUGGUUUUACCUUUUAAAUUUAUGUAUGUUAUAGUUAUAUUUGUAAUAGUUUAUUGUGUAUCUUUAUCCUUUGUUUUCAAUAAACUUCCUCGUACCGUCGAGGUUCUUGAAGUUAGCGUAAUUUGAUAUACCCAAAAGAGUGUACUACAUGUAAUGUAUUAUUUGUUUGAAUUGUGUAGUACAAUGUCGAGACCAACUCCACCCAAAAGAGUGUACUACAAAGAAUAUCUUGACUUCUAAAUUGCGAUAUGUUUUAACAUCUUGUCAUUCAAUUUUAAACUCAUCAUAUCCAGUUUAUUUUUCACCUCAAUUUAUAAGAGAGCAAACCAGCACUUUUUAUUUCAGAAUUUCCUCACCAACUUUUAUGUAUGAGAUUGCACCAAAAGGCAAAAGCCAACCCUCUCAGGUAACAAGAAGUAAUGAAAAACUCAACCGCUUCAACAAAAUCGGCAAACUACGGUUCAAUCAGUAUUCUCCCUUUCAUGCCUAAGCACAAUGAAAUACUCAUCUGCUUUUACAAGAGUUGAGUCACUCGCCCAAUUUCAACUGGUUUUAGGAUGAACCUCAACUUCAAUUAUAGGACAAAAGCUUCUAUCGUUUAAGACUUUAUGUUGUCAAAUGCGAAGUAUCGAUCGCGAUGAUUAGGUCUUCCAUAUUAACACUUAACUACCAUAGUUACAUACAAUACAUGAGUUUUUCGGAGAAUAUAUUUCUCUUGCUACCCAGAAAAUCAACAUGAGCAUACACAAACCAUUCUGUUUUUCUUCCACCUAUAACGGUAUGUAUGUAUGAUCGACUAUAUAUGGCCUUCGUUAGUCAAAAACUAAAAUAGGAGUAACAUGUAGAUUGCAGAUAUGCCUAGACUACUUCAAAGUGAAUUAGAGUCAAUCAAAUCAUAAACCUGAGUAAUGCACUGAAAAUUUCUGGUUUGGAAUCUCUGACGCUCAGGGAAUAAGCAAAAUGCAUGCAACAAAGCCUCCAUUGUUAACCUGAAAUAACAACAGUAUAUCAAGUUUAAUUUUCUUUUCAUUUGAAUCCUGGGUAAACAUAAUUCUUUCAAAAAGAUCGGACGCAAAUGCCAAUAUCUUACAGAUUUGUAAUUUCAUAUUGUGAACUAGCACCGCAACAAAAUAUUUACAUGUAUAUUGCAUAGUAUUUCUAAAUGCUGACCAAUUGGUAGCAUUAGCUAUUAUAUUGCAGUGUAAACCUCCUUCUGAAUGAAGGAAGCCGAGUGAUAUCUCCCACAAAUGUGAAGAACUUGUUGGAAUCAAUGCUUUUCUCUGAAGCUUUAGCCCUUACCAAAGACAAAAUCUUCAAUUAAUAACUCAAGUCCACUAAAACAAGUCUAGAAUUUCCAAGCUUAUUCCUAAAUUCUAUAACUUUCUCAACAAUAAUAUCAGAUGCCUUUGCAAGGUCAAAUUGAAAAUCUGCUGUUGAAAUGGAAGGAAAUGCCAGAGUGGAAGCAUCGUUUAGAGAACCAUCACCGUCAACAGAGCCUACAACUAGCUUUUCACCUUCCUUUGACUCCUUACCAGAUUUUUCAGAAAGUGAAACUGUUCCUUUCAAAGAGGUUUCCUUUUCUUCAGUAAUUUGAGAAGCAUUAGAAUCCGGUACACUCUUCAACGUUGAUUCAGUAUUGGCAGGACCAUCUGUUUUCUUUAAGAACUUCAUUAUACCUGGUUGAAUUUUUGCACCGGGGUUCUUCUGACCAAAAUAACCAUUGGGCAGUGUAUCUAACGGACCAAGUCCACUAUAUGCAUCAACGGAAGAUUGAUCAUCACUCUCACUCUGGCAACAAGUAAUUCUAGCAAACCCUUCACUCAGCUCAGGCAGUUCUUUGUUCUGCAGCAUUCUAUUCACAAUCGCCACAGCUUUCCCGCCUUGCACGUUUCCUUCAUGGCCCGUUCGCUUCACAUACCGCAAUAUACAAAGCUUGGCAGGAAGAUCAAGCACCACAGCAUGAACAUCAACUUGGGAACUACCACCAAGCUUCACAAAAUCAUCCCAUUUUUUCUUUCUCCACAUUACAACUAUCUAUAAACACACACUACCCAUCCUUCAACGCAUUCAUUGCACUAUCUAUACACUGCCCCUUCGUUCCGGCUUUACCAAUUUUGAUAGUAUCCUACAAAAACAUAAAUAUGAACAUAUAACAGCAUAAAACAAGAACCCAAAUGAAUAGAAAUCCGGAGUACCAUAUUACGUACUCAAAAUAACAAUCUUGAGCCCACUGCGACAUUUCAUCGAACACACUGUGUGCACAGAGAUAUACCUGGCAAACGCAAACCCAAGGGCGAGUGGAGCGCAUGACAUGUUCGCAGAAGGUAGACUUGCCGCUUCUAGGCGCACCCACCAAUAUUACUACGACAGGUUUUAUGAUCACCGAAGGCGACGACGACCGAGAAUGGUAAAACGCGGCGUUUUUGAGAAGGGGCGUAUCUUUGGCUGUUUCGUCGAUAUCCAUGUCCAUGUUUUGGAAGACUCUGCAAGGCACUUUUGAAUUAACGGCGGAAAAGCAGCGGUUUCUUCUAGCAUUGGGCUGGAAGCCUGAAGCUUCUAUCGCCGGUGCCUGGUGCUUGCGUAAUGGAACACAUGUCACACAUCGUCGACCCGAAAAUUGACAAGAUCCGAUUCGAUUUAGAUUUUAUCCAUAUAUUAGCAUCUUCGCAAACGCCCACGCACAAACCAGAAUAUUUUAAUCAUGGGCCUUACGCACCCUUUUGAGAAGGGGCGUAUCUUUGGCUGUUUCGUCGAUAUCCAUGUCCAUGUUUUGGAAGACUCUGCAAGGCACUUUUGAAUUAACGGCGGAAAAGCAGCGGUUUCUUCUAGCAUUGGGCUGGAAGCCUGAAGCUUCUAUCGCCGGUGCCUGGUGCUUGCGUAAUGGAACACAUGUCACACAUCGUCGACCCGAAAAUUGACAAGAUCCGAUUCGAUUUAGAUUUUAUCCAUAUAUUAGCAUCUUCGCAAACGCCCACGCACAAACCAGAAUAUUUUAAUCAUGGGCCUUACGCACCCUUUAAAGAUGGGUUUGCUUUAAUUAUUUUUCUAGUUGUUUAAAAUUGUUAUUUGGUAAAAAAUUUGUGAGGACCUUUCCUUAUCAUAUUAGGCAUCAAAAUUUUCUUAUCCUUUUCUUUUUCAAUCAUCUUCUUGUGAUAAUUUUUUCUAUAAUUGUGUUAAGCCCUCCGUAUUCCGGUAACCUACAACAUGUUAAAUCUAUAGAAAUUAUAAACUUGUUAAUUACGUUCAUAGCACAAAGGCCUAUACAUACAAUCGUGUUUAAUUGGUGUACAGGUAAGGAUCUCUUCAAAUUAUGAAUACAAUCAGAACCAGAUUACACUAUUAAUUGCUAAACCUUAAGAAGGACGAUUUCCUUGCACAAGACUCCUUCUCUAACAUCAUGACAAACUAGACGGUCGAGAGGCGACAAGUUUGGACCAUAGAAGAAUAAACCGUGGUUUAGAUAGACCUUUUGUCAAGAGAUUUGUUAGUUGAUCCAAGAAUGGGAUGAAAUGAACUUUGUGAGUACCAAGCUUAACAUGUUCACGAACAAAAUGAUAAUCUAACUCAAUAUGCUUUGUGCGAGCAUGAAAUACCUGGUUGGCUGCGAUAUACCUAGUACUAAGAUUAUCACAAAGGAGAUAGGUGGGCAAAGAGGCAUGAAACCGAAGUUCAUGAAGUAAGUGUUGCGUGAGUCAACCUUAGAAAAUAAGGAAUGUAGAGAUUUUUUGGGUAUAUAAUUAUGUAAUUGGUAUCCUUGUGUUUAUGGGAUACUUGUUUCCUAAUUUAUAGGAGAUUGUAUCAGUUUAUAUACCUCUCUACGAGAGAAGAAUAAUAAGAAAAUAUAUUCACCAAAACCCUAGAAUUUUAUCUUGGUAUCAAGAGCCAGGUUUCGACCUGACUCCUCUCGGAAAAAGAACCCCUAAACAUCGUACAUGCCCUAACCUGUGAAACUUUGGUUCUCAAAUUUUGAACCCAUAGGUCAAACCCGUAGUCUUUGGAAACAACAGAGCUACACUGUCAGUACAAUGGCAGAAAACAAAGCAGGUGCCCUAAUUCCCAUGCACCCCGUGGCUGCUCAGGGUGAGUCUACCAAUAUCAAUGCCGUUCCAUUCGGGUUUCGAUUGAGCGACUCGAACUUCAAGGUUUGGUCCAAGAUGAUGGAGGUUCACGCUUCAGGACUCGGGAAGCAAGGCUAUUUAACGAGUAAAAUUCCGGCCGUUGAUGAAGAUGAUCCAGGAUAUGUAAAGUGGGCAACUGAAGAUGCUAUCGUACGCGGGUGGUUGCUCAAAACCAUGGAACCACACCUACUUGGUCUCUUUAUAGACUUACCCACUGCCAAAGAUAUCUGGGAGACUGUCACCCAGAUGUUCUAUGAUGGUUCCGAUGAGUCACAAUACUAUGAACUCCGGUGCAAGGCUACACGAACGAGACAAGACGGUCGUCCAAUCAAUCUAUAUUUAACUGAACUAAAGGGUGUUUGGCAGGACCUAGACAGGAGACGUCCUCUCCGUAUGGUGUGUGGAGCGGACCUGAAAACUCAGAAAGAAGAAGUUGCAAAAGAUAGGGUGUACGACUUUCUCGCUGGAUUAGAUAGCGGUUUUGACCAAGUUCGGAGUGAGAUUCUAAGGAUGAAACCUAUCCCUGGAAUCGAAGAAUGCUUCAAUUUGGUACGACGAGAAUCCCAGAGAAAGGCCACUAUGAUGGGAACAAAGACUACGAUGGCAGCACCCCCUAUGGCUAUGGCAACCAAGGCGUCUAGUUCACGUCCACGGGCAUAUGGAAACACUCGAUCAUCUCGUACCCAGGAGGAUAUCGAUAAAGAUAAACUCCAUUGUAAUCACUGUAAUGGAACACGACACACUGAGGACACCUGUUUUGAAAUCCAUGGCUACCCAGAUUGGUACUGGGAAAGAAAGAAGGAGUUGAAGGCUAGGGAACUAAAAGGAUGGGUCAAGUCCGUGUAGCGGUUUCUGGAUCUGGAGCGGCAUCUAGUGUACAAGGGAGUCAAACUGGGCUCCAAGCCCAACUUGGAAAUUCUGAGGGAACCCGAGGAGUUGCUGCUAUUGCAGCGAGUCAGCACCGGCCUAUUUCGUCCAACCCAAUCACAGCAGCCCAAGCUGCAAGGUCCACUCCAAAUGCGGCAUCCACAGAAGAUGAAAACAGCCCACUCCUAUCUUUAAUCAAUCAAAUAUCAGUGAGUGACAAUCCAGAAGAUUCAGGUAAAAUCGGUUAUGUUUUAAUAACAUCCACAAAAAAAGAUACUGGUUGGAUAAUUGACUCUGGAGCUUCGGAUCAUAUGACUUAUGAUGCGUCAUUAUUCUAUCACAUGACUUUACCGUCUAAAGAAGAGGUCAUUACUGCCAAUGGUGACGUUGCUCCUGUAACAGAAGCAGGUUCUAUUUCACUUACUCCAUCUUUGUCCAUUCACAACGCACUACUUGUUCCGUCUUUAUCCAACCAUCUACUUUCCGUUGGUCAAGUUACUGAGCAAUUAGACUGUGUUGUGCUAAUGUUUCCCAAUUUUUGUCUACUUCAGGAUAUCCAGACUCGGGCGAUAAUUGGGCGUGGUACUAAAAGGAGGGGGUUAUAUUAUGUGGAUGAUGUCUCGGCAAGUCGAGUAAAUCAAGUACGUAGCAGUCACUCAAACAAGACUAAGACAGUUUGGUUAUGGCAUCGUCGAUUAGGACAUGCAUCUUUUGGUUAUUUGAAAAAAUUGCUUCCAUCUUUAUUUCAUGGCAUUUCAGACUCUGAUUUCCAGUGUAAUGAUUGCAUUCUUGCAAAAAGUCAUCGUACUUCAUAUAAUUUGAGUUUCAAUAAAAGAACAGUUCCUUUUGAGUUAGUUCAUUAUGAUGUGUGGGGGCCUUCUCCAGUAGCUACUAAUCAUGGGACUCGUUGGUUUGUUAUCUUUGUGGAUGAUUGCACCAGAAUGACAUGGCUUUAUACUAUGAAGAAUAAAAGUGAUGUUGGUCAAAUAUUUCACCAGUUUUACUGCAUGGUGAACAAUCAAUAUUCUCUUCCCCUCAAGGUUCUUCGGUCUGAUAAUGGUGGGGAAUAUCUCAAUACUGAACUUUCUCACUAUUUUCAGGAGCACGGCAUUCUUCAUGAGACUACCUGUCCACAAACCCCACAACAAAAUGGGGUUGCCGAACGCAAAAAUAGACACAUUUUGGAAACCACUAGAGCACUACUUAUCGGUGCUCAUGCUCCUCAUUCCUAUUGGGCGGAUGCCGUCAGAUAUUCUGUUUAUCUCCUGAACCGAAUGCCCUCUCGAGUGCAUAAUUUUCGCACUCCUAUAGAAGUUUUUGCCAACCAUGUGAUGUUACCAUCCUCACUCCAUUUGCAACCCCGUAUUUUUGGUUGUGUAGCCUAUGUGCACCUCCACAAAAAUCAGCACAGUAAGUUGGAUCCAUGUGCAGUUCGAUGUAUUUUUCUGGGAUUUAAUGGUCAGCAGAAGGGGUACCGAUGUUAUCACCCACCUACCAGGCAUAUGUAUGUCACCAUGGAUGUCACAUUUUCCGAACAUGAGAUGUUUUUUCUUCCUGAUCACACUCACUAAAAUCUUCAGGGGGAGAUGAGCAUAGAAGAUUAUAGUUGGAUUGAUCUUCCAACAGAGCAGGUGCAUGGUCACCGUGAGCAAGACAUAUGCAGUGGUGGGAUUUGCCAGCCACCUGUGAUCAACCAAGACCCAACAGUGGGGUCGAGUGACUGCCGUGAGCCCAACAAAUGUGUAGAAGAGCACCGAGAGCCCAGCAGCAUUGGGGAGCCCAAUAUGGGCUUGCUAAGCUUAAAUGAUCAGGGUGAGCCCAAUUUGGAUUUGAAUAUUUGCCGCAAGCCCAAUCAGGCAGGUGUACUUGAGCUCAGCGUGCCAUAUAAACCCAGCGCAGGUAAUGGACCGUGCUGCAACAUUCUACACCCUUUGACUCAAAAUGUGGACAACCCAAAUGCUUCAAGAAAUAACCUCUCCCUAGUUGUACCCGUCCAGAUGCCUGAGGAUAUCCAUGAGGUAAGUUUGUCUCAUUCUGAAGUAGCUCAUAAUUUGACUAACAUUGAAAGUACUUAUGUAGCCUCCUAGACAAAAUCGUGGAAAACCUCCUGACAGGUAUUCUCCGGAUGAAAAAAAUGAGAUAUGCAAUUGCAAAGUAUGUCUCUACGCAUCGGUUAUCUCCCAAGUACCAAGCAUUUGUGAAUACAAUGGAUGGAAUCAAAAUUCCAACUAAAGUGGAAGAAGCCUUGCAGGAUCCUCGAUGGACAGAAGCAAUGGAAGUUGAAAUGAAGGCCUUACAAAAUAACAGAACUUGGAGCGUAGAGUCACUACCCCAAGGAAAAAAACCAGUAGGGUGCAAAUGGGUGUUUACCAUCAAACACAAGGCGGAUGGAACCAUCGACAGAUACAAGGCAAGGUUGGUUGCUAAGGGGUACACACAGACUUUCGGAGUAGAUUAUGGGGAAACAUUUGCUCCGGUAGCAAAGAUGAACACUAUACGGGUUCUCUUAUCUUUAGCUGCUAAUUUUGAUUGGCCGUUGAAACAAUUUGAUGUAAAAAAUGCUUUUCUACAUGGAGACCUAGAAAAAGAAAUAUACAUGGAGCUUCCACCUGGGUAUGAAGUGCAGAAUAGAACAGGUAAGGUGUGCAGACUACGAAAGGCUCUUUAUGGACUUAAACAAUCGCCAAGGGCCUGGUUUGGAAGAUUCACUGAUGCAAUGAAGAAAUAUGGUUACCGACAAGGAAAUGCUGAUCACACUUUGUUUAUCAAACGCAGGGGUAAAAGGUUACCUUGUUAAUAAUAUAUGUGGAUGAUAUGGUAGUCACAGGUGAUGAUACCGAAGAGAUGGACAGACUACAGGUGUAUCUCUCUACGGAGUUUGAGAUGAAGGAUUUAUGAGGUUUGAAGUAUUUCUUGGGAAUUGAAGUUGCUCGUUCCCGUGAUGGUAUUUACUUAUCUCAGCGAAAGUAUGUUCUGGAUCUGUUGUCUGAAACAGGGAUGUCGGCUUGUAAACCAGCAGAAACGCCGAUAGUUCAGAAUCAUCAUUUGGCAAUAUACCCGGACCAGGUCCCGGCAAACAGGGAAAGAUAUCAAAGGUUAGUAGGAAGGUUGAUUUACUUGUCUCUCACUAGACCAGAUAUUGCAUAUGCUGUUAGUGUAGUAAGUCAAUUUAUGCACUCUCCUAGUGAAGAUCACAUGGAUGCAGUAAUGCGAAUAUUAAGUUAUUUGAAGGGUGCACCUGGAAAGGGAUUGUUGUUCAAGAAACAACGGCAUUUGGAGGUCAAAGGGUACACUGAUGCUGAUUGGGCUGGGAAUAUUACUGAUAGACGCUCUACAUCGGGGUAUUUUUCAUUUAUUGGCGGAAAUCUCGUGACUUGGAGAAGCAAGAAACAGAAUGUGGUUGCUAGGUCAACAGCUGAGGCUGAAUAUCGUGGUAUGGCACAUGGAAUUUGUGAGUUAUUAUGGCUGAGGAUUCUUCUUACAGAGAUUGGGUUCGAGCCACAUGGAACUAUGUUAUUGUAUUGUGAUAAUCAGGCUGCGCGGGAAAUAGCUAAUAAUCCAGUUCAGCAUGAUCGUACCAAACAUGUUGAGGUGGAUAGACAUUUUAUCAAAGAAAAGUUGGAUGUUAAGUUGGUAGAAAUUCCGUACGUAAGAUCUGAAGACUAGUUGGCCGAUGUGUUAACUCAUGCAGUGUCAGCAAAAGUGUUUCAGGACUCACUUGGCAAGUUGGGCCUAGGUGAUAUCUACGCACCAACUUGAGGGGGAGUGUUGCGUGAGUCAACCUUAGAAAAUAAGGAAUGUAGAGAUUUUUUGGGUAUAUAAUUAUGUAAUUGGUAUCCUUGUGUUUAUGGGAUACUUGUUUCCUAAUUUAUAGGAGAUUGUAUCAGUUUAUAUACCUCUCUACGAGAGAAGAAUAAUAAGAAAAUAUAUUCACCAAAACCCUAGAAUUUUAUCUGUAAGUAGGACACCUAAAGAGAUUCGAUACAGGUGUGAGCAAGAGCACGAUACUCAGACUCCACACUAUAGUAAGAAACAGUAGGACGUUUUGUAGAACUCCAUGAUAUGAGAUUCGGACCCAUAAAUAAAAGAUAACCAGAUGUCAAUUGACGAGUGUCAGUACAAGCCCAAUUUGCAUCGGAAUAACCCUGGAGAAUGAGGGGACCAUGGUGAGGCCAAAAAAUCAAACCAAAUCCACCAUAAAAUCAAUUGACAAAAUGGAAAGUAACUCAAUAAAUUAUAAGCACAUUCGUCACUUCUUUCUUCGACGUGGGAUGGAUACUCAAAGUCCACUAUAAAAUUGAAGAAACUUGUACAAAGUUAGAGUAGAUUUUCCAAUCUCCUUUGUUAGUGACAACAUAACUACCUUUGCCUAAAGGAAAAGGAUCAUCGCCGAUCCUUUUCCUAGGGAUCCUAGGAAUUUCGUGAUCCAGACAAUCCAUCGUACAUCGUGUGGUUAAAAAUCAUUUUAAAAUUUAAAAUUAAAUAUAAAUAGUACUUAAAGAAAAUUGAUCGCAUGAUUAAUAAUGAACGAUCCGGAUCACUGGAUUCCUAAGAUCCCCAUGAAAAGAUUCCAGCGAGGAUCCUUUUCCUUGCCUAAAGGGCAGGAAGACAGUCUAAGGAAAGGAUUUGGAUCCUCGCUGGAUCCCCUCACUGGGGAUCCUAGGGAUCAAUACACGUGGACCGUUGAUCAAAAAUCGUGCAGCCACAAUUUUUUCUUGUUUAUAUUUUUUACGUAAAACGAAGCUGCUUUACUUUUAAAAAUAUAAAAAACAUUUAAUUGGGACCGCAUGAUUUUUUAUCAACGGUCCACGUGUGUUGAUCCCUAGAUCCCCUUAUCCCCAGGAAAGGGAUCCGGCGAGGAUCCAAAUCCCUAAGGGAAACCAGGGUAGUUGGGGUAUGACACGUCGCAUCGCAUGGGACCCUUUUUGACCGUUUAGGCAGAAUAUUAAUACAACUCCAAAGACUCCAAGAAAGAUAUGUACCACACGACGACUCCUUUCCCUUGUCUAGACUCCAAAUUGGUAUGGAACUCUAAUCAUUGCCCUUAUUAAUUUAUCUUUGUGUAUGUGUUUGUUUCCCUCGAUUUUUAGACGUGUAUUUUGGUGCGAAACUGUUUUACAAGUUCCGGCAGGUUAGGUAUUAUUCAUGAUUGUGCUCGGUAGAAAAGGUUUUUUUAAUUUUUUAGUAAGCGUUUUGGGAGAAAAAAAAAAUUAAGAUACUUCUUUGGAAAGUACUUUCUCGUACUUGCAAGGAAGCACUUGGGGGUUUUGAUAAAAAUUCAACUUGUUUCUAAUUAAAGCACUUUUAACAAAAUCGUUUAUGAACAAAAUAUUUCUUACAAGAAUAGUCCCUGAUCACUCGGUCUUUUUUUAUGUGCAAAUCAUAGUAAGCAAAACAACUAAUAAGCACCAAACUCCACGGCUAAACGUCAAAUUUUACCGACAAGAUUGCAUGACUUUUGCUAUUUACCAACAAUGACACUGACAUCAGCUUCAAAAUCAUCCAUAAUUGAAAUAACAAAUAAACAAUAAUUUGUUCUUCUUUUCCAAAAAGAAGAAAAUGUUAGGGUGACUCUCUUAAAAAUGAGAUUCUUUGUCACAUCAUGUUUUUACAUUAGGUUUUAUAAUGUUGACACGUGAAUUAACGUAAUUUGUGAGGUGUCAGAGAGUUCAUAAAGAGUCUACUUUGAGAUAGUCUCCUUAGAAUUUCUCUUCCAAAAAUUGACCUACAAUUCAAGAUGCCCGACUUAUAAAUGAUUUCACACCACAAAAUUGUAGUAUUUAAUCCUUGUGGCACUGAAAUCAACAUUUCUUAUCAAGAAAUUAAGAAACGAUGCAUGAUAGAUGCUAAGGAGACUCUCUAAAUAAUUGUUUAUAGUAACUUAGAGGUUAUUGUAAAUUUGUAAUUAGGGUUUCGUCAAGGAUAUACCUACCUGCACUGAUAACACAAUAAUAUAUCGCUAUUGAUGACGUUAUUUAACUCGAAGCAAUACCCUUAAUGUGUGGGGUUAUCCUUUUUCUUCACUAAUCACAGUAAAAUGAACAAAAGAAAAUUUCUGGCCCUCACUAAACAGCCGGCCAAGAUUUCAAAUUCUAUAAGUCAACAAGUCAACCCAGCAAUUAAUAUCGAAAUUCUAUAGUGUGACUUAUCAUGUUGUAUGUCUGUGGAUGUGAUGACAGUUUAAUUGUAUAAACAAGGGUUUCGGGCAAUAGGAUUGCUUAUCAUGUUUCGCAAUUAAAUGGAAAAAAAGGUCGGCUCAAAUUAACUUCACAACAAUUUGUUUUGCCCUGAUUGAAAUUGAAUUGGUUGAAAUAUGUAUGAUUGGUUUAGCUGUGUAUUCGAUUUAUUGACGAGGUGUGCAGUUUAUUCAAAUUGCUUAUUCGUAGAGGAUUUUGACAAGUUUCGUGGAGCUGUGGACUGUGUUAUGCAGCGCAAUCCAUUAAAUAUGACUGGACAUGAUUAGAAGAACAUGUUAUGUAGAACUGUCAAAUAUUAUUUUAGGCAAGUGCUCAAAUUGUGAGAGAGAUUAGUGUACAUUACUUUCUGUGGUUAUGAAGUACUGAGGGGAGGAUUGAUAUUUUUGGAGCUUAACAUUCCGGAGUUAGCAAAUGAGACUUCUUUCUGGGAAAUUUAAACCCCCUUGAUCUCAGGUUUACAUAAAAUAGGACUUAUGGAAUAGAUUUCAUAGUUGUACAUCUAUGGCAUCAUUACACUAUGAAAUAGGACUUUAAAUUCGCUGCUCUAACUUUGAUGGUCAUCUAUAUUAGUGUUAUUAUUACGUUUUGGUCAUCUUUUCACUAUCAUCUCUCUCAGUCAUGACUUAGGUACUACAGAAUGGGUUUUUGUGCAUCUGUUUAUUUGUAAUUGUCCAAAUAGCAAUGUAAUUGUUGAAUAGGUUUUUGUGUAUCUUUGCUGCUCCGUAUAAAUUAGCUUGAGGUUGCUUGACAGGUGACAGUGAAUUUACCAUGAGGUUAUGUAGUACCUUACAAAUAAACGUCUCUGUCAUGACAUAUAUUGUGAUUUUUUUUUUCCUUCCAUCUGUUUGUUGAUACAAUCCUUUAGGUAGAGCAUGUUAUGAUGUUUCCAAUUUGAUAAAUGCCGUUAAGUCUUUAUGAAUUCAACCAUUGUAUGAUUUGCAUUUAUUUAGAAUUCAUAAGAACUUAAAAAAUCUAGAACUGCAGUGUAUAAACUUGGUUAUUUACUUCUCACGCCAUUGAGGCACAAAAGUUGUUCCUGCACUAAGUUCUUUAUAUCGAAAUUGAACAAAUUUAAUUUUCCUUUAUAUCCAAAUGCAUUAAAGUAAUUGUGAGUUGUAUGACAUGACUGUUCAAUUAUGGCCUUGGCUGAAGCCCCUUGCUUAUCUUAAUAAAUGUGCUUGCUUAUCUUAGUAUACAUAUGUGUUUUGCCGCUUAUCAAAAUCUGUUAGCCAAUAUUUUCGCACCGCUCUUUCGCACUCUUUUCCACGGCUAUCAUGUUUCUCUCUAACCUUCUAAAUUGUACCUUCAUUCACAACAAAAAACCUCGCAGUGAGCAAAUAGAGACAACCAAUUCUACUAUAAUUGCUAGAGAAUUCCAUAAUUUGGUUGUCCCUAAGAUUGAGCCCGCAGACAAAGAGCCGAUAGCCGCACUCAGAACAAAGUCUCAAGCCAAAAAAACCAAAGAUAGGUAAGUUACUAUUUGUUUUUCACAUGCACGCCUACAUAACAUCCGUCAUACCAGUGUUCACUAAACUAUUAUUUAUGUUUUUUGCUAUAGUGCGAAAGAUGUCCGCCCACAAAAAAAAAUGAAUGACCGCAGUCUCCGUUAUUAGUUGCUACAAAGGCGUUGUCCAUGUUUUUGCCUUUGAACAUAUGUGCUUGAAAACUUCCUUGCUGAACCAACAACAGAACAGUUUUUAUGGUUUUUGUUAACUACUAAAACAGGUGGCUGACCUGCAAGACAUGUAUUUUACCACCUUAACUACGGGGCAAAAUAUGUGUUGACUGCAUCUUGCUUCUGUUUCUUCUGUUUCUUACGGAAACAGGCAUCCUGCAUCUUUUUUGCUUUGGACAUUAGUGCUUGAAAGAUUAGCUAUUGAAACAAGAACAACAGAGCAUUUUUUGCAACCGUAUCUUUUGUAAUCAGCUCUGUUCAAUGUUUAUAAAACCCGAACUGCUUAUCUUACCAACGCCGUUCACUCAUCUAUCCCUUUUGUUUGUUUAUGAUUAUGUUGAAUUUUUUUCAGGUUCAAUGUGUCUUAUUCAUGUGGUUAAGGCUGGUGCAUUCAAGUCCCGCAACAACGCGGGGGCAUUUUUACUAGUAACUGCUAAAAGAGAGGGUUAACAUUUAACUACUAAAAUGAUUUGAAUUGGGCGUGUUCCUCUGUUAGAGACUUAAUUGAAGGAAGUUACCCCGAUGAGUCCUCCAGGAUAUCAUAGUGACAUACAAUCGAUGAGUUUUUCAGACAAUAUAUUCUCUUGCUAUCCAGAAUAUCAGCAUGAGCAUACACAACUGUUUUGUUUUUCUUCCACCUACAACGGUGUUUGUAUUUGAUCGACUAUAUAUCACCUUAAUCAAUCAAUAACUAAAAUAGGAGCAACAUGUAGAUUGCAGAAAUGCCUAGACUAGUUCAAAGUCAAUCAAAUCAUAAACCUGAGUAAUGCACUGAAAAUUUCUGGUUUGGAAUCUCUGACGCUCAGGGAAUAGGCACUGACUCAUUCAAGUGUGUUUAUAUGGAAGCUAAUCUAAAUUAUUUGUUCAAUUUAUCCCGUUAGUAACAUCACGUCAAGUGAUUUUGUAGAAUGCACUGGGAGAAUGCCGCUUUCGACCAAAAAAUUAAAGAAAAACUAACGAGAAGUCUAAAGAAACUUUAGUUUUAAUUAAAAAUAACAAACAAAGGUGUAAUGAAUAGUACCAUGGAAAAGUAAAAAUAUGGUUUUUGGUUAAGAGUGAAUAGUACAUUGAGUGUUUCGUUAAAACUCUAAAAAAUUAAACAUGAUUUCAUUAAUUACCCCACUUGUCUUGAAAAGAGAGACUUAUGCUUCGUUUGUAAAUACUUUUAAAAUUAUUGAAAGCGUUUUUAAAGAAAAUGUUUUUGGAUUCGAAAAACACUUAAAAUACUUUGUGGAAGAAGCAUCACUUCAAGUAAUUUUUGAGGAUUCACCUUUUGUUUUUACUAAAGAUUGGUUUCAAAACAUUUUCUCUAAAAUGCAUUUAAUCGUUUUAAAAGCACUUUCUAAUAAGCUCUUAUAUGAAACUGGAAGUGUAACCCAUGUAUAUGAACGUGGGGUAUACACUGUUUCGUGAAGUUUUAGCCCCGAGUUGGGGCGAAAUUUUACCCUUCUUUCCACUCAAUAGUCCGUCGACAUCGAAUAAAACAACCGACACUUUGAAGUCAACAAGUCAAACAAAUCACAAAAUUAUACCUGCUAUACACAUUACCAUCACGUUUUCCUUAGUAUGGCUCGCUUAAGUUAUUUAGGAUUUGUUUGAUAAUCAGUUCUUUUUAUUUAUUUUUAAAUUAAAAGUAGUUACCAAAUAAAUUUUUAAUUUUUAAAAAAUAAAAAGAAAUGAAAAUAGAACGAUUAUUAAACGGUCUUUGGGAAUUUGAAAGUCGUUUCCAUUUUUUUUUUGUGUUGAAAUUUGUUUGUUAACCAUUUCUUUUGCAUGUGAACGAUUUCCUCUUUCGCCUUACAAAAAUUAAAAUAUCUAUUUACGGUCUUCUGUAUGGCAUGGUUUGAAGCGUGUUUUGCAUAUUCUAAAUAAUAAUAAUUGUUGAAUUAUUAGUGAUGGGAGGUCAGUUUUCUUUUGGUAUAUGCAUAGCUUACAUUUUGAUUUUAUUUUAUUUAUUUAUUAUUUUCAAUUGACACGUGAGAACUAUAAUUUGGACCUUGAAAAACUUUAUAAAAUAUAGGACAAUUGUUUUACACAUUCCGAUUAACCAAGUGCAUAAAUACACGUUCACAGUUCAAACUUCAUCACGGUUUCAGCUGACGCUUAGAUAGUCAUUUUUGUUUGUAUUGACUAUGUAUUGUCGUGGUCAGUCAAUAGCCACUGGAAAAUGAAGAUAGAAAAGCAACACAGUAAGACUUGAACGCCAUGUUGUCUUAUAUUUUACUCUAAAUUUUACAUGAACAAUAUCUAAAAAUCAAUUAAACUCCAUCAAAAGUUAUAAAUUGUGACAAUCAAGACUUCAAAAUCAACGUCAACCCAUAAAAACAAGAGAAAUUUUUUAAAAUGUUAUGUGAAUUUAUACACCUUCUUCAAUUUGUCAUAUAUGAACGAAAAUUUUAAGCGAUUUGUCAUACCAACUUUUCGAAUCAUUAAUUUGUCAUCUAACUUUUCCUCCGUUAAAUUUUUCAUUCAAAAUAACUCAUGCGUAAGGCACGCAUAAUAUGUUCAGGAUUAAUAUUUGAGACAUUUCAACGAGUACUGUCCCCUUUGCAUUUAAUAACCACAAAAGGCAUCAAAAUGCCUUUCAUUCGUCUCUGCUUUUUAGGCACCGAAAGGCAAAGGCAUUUGCCUUUCCUUUUUUUUUUCAGUCCGCUUUUCUUUUUGCCGUGUAGGUGGAAAUUUCCGAAGGUAACAGUUGCUUCUCCAAGUCCUUGCCCCCACGGCCACGGCCACCCGCUUUUAGUUCUGUUCCUAUUUUUCAUGCAGGUUACAGACUUGCAGAUAUGGGAUUUGGGAGGGAGAAGACUUCAAAGUCAAGCCACACGUUUACCAUGCCUAUUAAAGUUGCCACAACCAUUCUCAGUUUCUCACAACUUAAUUUCCCUAAGCUUCUCUCUAAACCUCAAAAUAUUAAGUUUAUCCAAGAUGAAACCUCUCUUCCCACUCCCAUAUUUCUUCCUCCUGUUCUUCAUCAUCAUUAAUACUUUCUGUGUUAACAUUGCGGCUGCAGUCCAUGGUCGGUGUUUCGAAGACCAGCAAUUGCUCCAUCUGAAGAAAAGCCUCACCUUUGCUCCCGAGUCAUCUGAGCAUCCUGCUUCAACCAAGUUUAUAUCAUGGAAUUCAAGUACCGACUGCUGUUCUUGGGCUGAUGUUACUUGCAAUGCCAACGGCAGCGUUGUUGGUCUUGACAUUAGUAGCAAAACAUCUCCGGUGGCAUUGACAACUCGAGCACUCUCUUCCAUCUUCAACAUCUUCAAAGCCUCAACUUGGCUGAUAACUCUUUUGUUAACGGCUCACGCAUUCCAUCAUCAAUCGGAAAGCUUACCAACUUGAGGUAUCUAAACUUAUCUGAUUCUGGUUAUUCCGGAAAGAUUCCCAUUGAGAUUUCACGCUUGACAAGGUUGGUUGUCCUAGAUAUUUCUCUAUGUAAACAUCAGUGUGCCACCAAACUUGAGAGCCCGACUUUGAGCAUGCUCUUUCAGAACCUCACAGAGAUUACAGAGCUAUAUCUUGAUGGGAUAAAUAUAUCAGCACAGGGGAGUCAGUGGUGCCAAGCAAUAUCAUCUUCACUCCCAAAUCUGAGGGUGUUGAGCAUGUGUGGAAGCCAGCUCUCAAGUCCUUUUUGUCAGUCCCUCGCAAAACUUCAGUCUCUCUCAGUGAUUCAAUUGGAUAGUAAUGACAUCUACGGUCCAAUUCCAGGAUUCUUUCCCAAGUUGACUUCUUUGAGUCUUUGUAAUUGCAUUCUGAAUGGAACAUUUCCCAAAGAGAUCUUUCAGGUACCUACUUUACAAGCUAUUGACCUUUCCGGUAACAUACAUCUUCAUGGUUCUUUUCCAGAAUUUCUUGAGAAUACAUCUCUUGGAUUUUUGGACCUAAGCCACACAAAGUUUUCAGGGUUAUUGCCUGACUCCAUCGGCAACCUCAAAUUGUUGUCCAUUUUAAAUCUUUAUAACUGCAGUUUUAGUGGAUCAAUCCCUAAGUCCAUGGCAAGCCUAACAAAAUUGUUUUACUUGGACAUGUCGUCAAAUAUGUUUAAUGGUUCGAUUGAUUCUAUUUACUGGAAAAAGCUUGUAAAUCUCGAAUAUUUAGCUUUGGAUUCAAAUUUCCUCACAGGUAGUAUUCCGUCAUCUCUGUUUUCAGAUAAGGAACAUCCUCAAUGUCUGGACAAGUGCAAUAAACACUCAUUACAAGAUUGCCAGGUGCCUUAACAACCUCGCCUGCAACAUGGGCUGCCAUGGAAAGACUGUCCUUCCCACAAUCAAUUGCAAUACCAAGUUCAAUCAUUGCCACUGAAAGAGCUGUAGCAGCAUCAUACAUAGCUGCUUCUUCCCCAUCAAGCUUGGUUGCAUACAUCCAAUUCCCGCUGUCUUUAACAUCAGAUAGAGAAGUGACCUUUGCCCAAACAAGAUUUGUGAGUGCUUCUCCAACAGCCAAUCUCGCCAUUGCUUUUGGAUCCAACAAACCUUUGAUUGGCUACUCCCCAAUGGCACAUGCACCUCCAGUCAUGUCAGUAAAAGUCUGCGCUAUUACUGCAACAACAGAGAGAGGAAUUUGCAACGGCCCAACAGUUUGCUGCUGUGCUACAAGACCUGUAACACACCUGUCUACUUUGGAUGCCAAGAAGCGCUUUGAACAAACAGAUGGAAGUCUCAACACCCUCUUAAGUGAAUCCAUCACUGUUAUUCCAGGAGCAGUAUCAAGUGGUUCUCGUGCAUCAGUCAUCCUGUGGAAUUCAAAACUUUUCUGUGGCAUAUCACCAAGGACUUUCUCAAGCUCCAAAUCGACGGCAGGAGAUGUCUCAUGCAUGAUAACCAUCAUUCAUGGUUUAACAGAAAACAUAAAGGUGCAUUAGUAUUCUGCAGAUUUCAAAAUAAUUGCAGAUAACACAUGAUCAAAUCACCCAAGAUAAAAAAUUUAGCAGAAGAGUUUCAAUUCAAUUGAAUCCAUAUAGUUUUUUUUUUUUUUUUUUGUUAUUUCAAAGUCUUAUCCUUUAAGACCGAACAUAAACCCUCGACUCAAUAUGGAGAAGGACUUUUAAGCAGGAAAGAAUAAAACUUUGCAAUUUAUCAAACAUUCCUUGCACAGAUCCAAUUUAUGAAACAGCGCAGCGGAAUAACCAUUCAAAUUGAUCAUAUCAGUUGCAAGAUUGAUGAAAUUAUAACCCAGAAGCAUGUUUUGUUGGUUAAUGUUCUUAAUUGAAAAGGCCCAAUCGGAAAGAAAACCCCUUCCCUUGAAUUUGCAGAAAAUCCAACCGUAACAUCCUUUGAAAUUCAAACGGUCAUAUAUUUUCAAACAUGUUUUGUCGUUAUUCGCAAGGCAUUAUACUAGAACCUGUGUUCGAUUCCCCAACGCAACAACGAAGAUAUAUUUUUCUCAAUAUUAUUUAUGAUUUGGAACCUACUAGUUUUAAUCACAGAACUUAUAAUUUAUACGACCGAGAAUGGUAAAACGCGGCGUUUUGGAGAAAGGGCGUACCUUUGGCUGUUUCGUCGAUAUCCAUGUCCAUGUUUUGGAAGACUCUGCGAGGCACUUUUGAAUUAACGGCGGAAAAGCAACGGUUUCUUCUUCCACUGGGCUGGAAGCCUGAAGCUUCUAUUGCCGGUGCCUGGUGCUUGCGUAAUGGGACACAUGUCACACAUCGUCGACCCGAAAAUUGACAAGAUCCGAUUCGAUUUGGAUUUUAAUAUCCGUAUUUCAGCCUUUUUGCAAGUGCUAAUGCGUAAAUGAGAAGUAUUUUAUAAUCACGGGCCCCUUUAAAGAUGGGUUUGCUUUAAUUAUUGUUCUAAUUGUUUAACAUUGUUAUUUCGUAAGAAACUAGAAAAUGUGACCCGCGCGUUGCUGAAGGAAGUCAGACUCCUGCGUUGCUGCAACAUUGAAAAUUAUAACAUAUUAUGGUUAAAACAUAUAAAAGAUCAUGUAUCCAAUGAUUGUAGACCUAAUAAUCAUGCACUCAACACUGAACACCUAAAUGUCAUCAAACCAAAGUAAACUUUCAUUUAACUAAGUUAUUAGCACUUCAGUUAAAUCUCAAGUUAAAAAAAAAGUAGUUCAAUUUGACUAAAAUUACACGGAGGGAGAAAGACAGAACAAACAGUUGCUGAAAGGUGUACAACAACACUGAUCCUGCAAGUCAAAUAUGAAAAAUGUUCAAAAGAGUGUAAAAGCUCAAAUUAUUCCUAGCAUCAGUAGAUUAACAAUGAAGAAACAAAAUUCAUUUAAGUUUACAUUGCUUGUCGGUUGGCAAUUCAGCAUGGGAAAAAAUGCAAGAAAAAAAUAUUGUUAAAGCGAAUAAGUGAAUAAGAAUGAACAUUAUAUUUAGUAUAUCAUGAAUAUGCAUGUGCAUGGUAAAUACUAAGCAAGAAUAUGGAUAGGCAAACAGUAACUAUCAAUUAACCAUUUUAAUUAACACUUUAAAAAAAAUUGUUUUAAAGUAUAAAAAAUAUUAUUAAAAAAAUAUUCUAUAUACUAUACAGACACAAUGAGUGAAAAUAUAUACCAUUUGACAAUACAAAAUCAAGCAAUGUCUAAAGAUGAUAAACAGAUCCUAGAUGGUGUUUCUUACAGAAAGCAGAACCAUUAGAUCAUAUGCAUUGAAACAAUUAACAAAUUUUCAAUGGGCAAUACUAAAUGUUUAUUACUUAAGAUCAUUAAAUAAUGACUGCUCACCUUUUCAUCAACCAGUAUACAGCGCAGGCCUAUAUAUUUAUCGGUCGUUUCUGGAAUUCUCGCUCUCCACAUUGUACACAGGACUUGAAGUUUUACUGCCUUUUUAUACGGUUGUAACUGAUUGAUAGGUGUUGGAAUUGCAUCUUCCAUUCAAGCCACUGAAAUUAAAUACAAAUUUUGUAAAUUUGUAAACAGUCAUUACAGAAAGUUUAAAAUAAACGCUGGAACAACCAACAAUUUAUCAAUAGAAAUUUCAUAAUACUAUUGAUUUUGAACACAGAUAAAAAUAAAUAGAUAAAUAAAAUAUCAAAUUUAGUUUAGUCAGUUUAUAUUCAGUUUAUUGUUGUAUUUACGCUGACUAUGAAAUAAUCAUCAUGAAAUGAAAAACACAGAUACAAACCUUAUAUGUGUUCAUUUCUUUUUUUUCAUCAGACCAGUUUUCAUUCUCUAGCUAUUGAGUUUAAUUUUUCUUUCGAUUCACUAUGUAGAUGGGUUCAACCUCCCUUUGUUUUUCCUAGAUUUUUUUCACUGAAAUACAAACCUGUGUGAGUGCUUAAAAACCUGCAUUGGUUAUGGAUAUUAACAGUUGCAUAAUGUAUAUACCUGCAACAUUAGAGCAGAUGAGGAACAGUUAGUAUCAUCAAUAGUACUUGUCAUCAACAUGAACUUAUCAUCCAAAGCGGUAUUAAAUUUGUUUAAUUCUUCAUCACCUAUGAUAUAAAUGAAUAAUACAUCUCAAAAGAAUGAAAAAAAAAAUAUACACAAAAUAUAGUUAACAUUGCUUUGUAAUUUCAUAUCAAAAGGGCAUAAAAAGUUGGUUGAUUCAUUUGUGAACUAAAUUAAAAACAAACUUAAACGUUAAUUUACUAAUGAAGAGGUUGAUUAUUCGAUGAUAAACUUCACAUGCACGCAUUGUGUAUUUAAGGUGAGCAAUUUCAAAAUUUUAUACCUGAGGCACCUGGAACCGUACAUACGAAAGCGCAAAAAAAGAUAGCCACUGCUUCCUGAAAAUAAAAAAGAACCAAAUCAUAUAUACCCACUCUAAAAAUCCAAACACAAACACUAAUCCAUAAGUUAAUUAUAACCAAUUUUUUUUACAGAAAAUAGAUCCGCAAACGAAACACUACUGAAAUAAAUUCUAAAUUUUGUUCAACAAAAAAUUUAAGAGGAGGAACAUAAAUUAUAUACCUUAAUCAGAAAGGGCUUGCAACGUUUCCUGAAAUAAAAAACAACCAAAUCAUACACCAACACUAAAAAUCCAAACACAUAAACGAUGAACACUUGUCCAUGAAAAUUAAAACAACCAAAUCACACACCCACACUAAAAACCCAAACAGACAAAGGAAACCGUAAAAAUUAAUCAUCUGUAUUGUUCUUUUUUAGUAUUUUUAUAAAAAAAAAAAAAAAAAAAAAUUGAACCAGAAACGAAACAGGACCCAAAAAAAUUAAAAAUUUUGUUAAAAAAAAAGAUUUAAGAACAAAACAUAAAUUAUAUACCUCACCCAAAAAUGGCUUGCAAGCUCGUACGAUAAAACCCUAAAAUUCAAAGACCAAUGUUCCCUGCAACCAAAAUCGAAAUCAGAUCAAACAACCAUACACAAAGUACGAAAAAAUUAAGAAAACACUCGGUACAAAAUGCCUAGACUUGAAUUUUACACUAAUCAAUUCAAAAAAUUUCUUGCUAUCCAAACAGAAAAUAAAGAAGCGAAUGAAGCAACGCACCUAAAACGGUGCGAUUGGUUUCUGGAAAAGAGCAGAAAAAAACAGACGAACGACCUUUUUAGACGACCGGAUCGAAAUCUAAACGGAAAGACAGGCGGAGAGAUAUAGAGAGAGCAAAAGAAAAGGAAAAGACAGAAGAGAAGAGGAAAGUGAAAAGUGGAAAGUGGAAGAUGCUUCCAGCCAAAAAAUAAAACAACCAGCCUCUGAACAGAACCCCCCACGAUGAUCAACACGUGGAAGCUAGAGGUACCAAAAGCAGAGUCUAACCAAAAAUUAAAACAAACAAAGGCUAAGCAACAACAUUUAUGGGAGAGAGAGAGAAAACAUAAUAAUUAAAAAAUGAAUGGUAGGACAAACAAAUUAUUUAAAAAAUAGAAGUUAAAUCAGGCCACAUAGUUUGUGGCACACCAAACACUAAAAAAUUAUAAAAAAACUAAGGUAAAAACACAGAAACAGAGAGGAAGAGAAGGGAAAAGCAACGAAAGAAAAUGGAAGAGCCUUCGUGCACCUUCCCCACCAAAAACGACGCACACAGGUAGAGCACGUGACACAAUUAAUUCUCAUCUUCUCCCAACAGGCGAGAUGACAGGGAUGCAGGAAAGCAUGCGAGGGGAAGUCAGGACAGAAAAAGCGAAUAAAUAUCUCAAUUUUUAAUAAUUGUUUUGUCCAUGUAUCUAAUUUUUUUAUAAUUUUUUAAUGUGUUGUUUGCCACAAACCAUUGCAGGAUUUGAGUGGAAGACAAAAAAAAAGCAAAACCUAAAAAUAAAAUAACCUAAAGGCAAAGCAAUGAGAGACAGGCUUCUCAUAAAUUUUAAUAAUUAUUUUAUGCAUGCAUCUAAUUUAUUUAUAAUUUUUUAUUAUGUUUUGUGCCACAUGGAUCGAAGGUGAGAUGGCGACAGGGAUCACAGGGAAGCAGGAAGUCAGGAGAGAAAAAGGAAACAAAUACCUAGAAUCAAAAGGGUAAAACGGCAAAGCCGAGCAACACGCGGGUUAAAAAAAACAGAUAAAGGAAGGGGGUAAAAACGACAUUUCAUGUAGCAUCUUCAAAAUGCCAAAAAAGUGAGCGUUAGAUCAGGGGCAAAACCGGGUGAGCACUGUUAAUGAACAGUGUUUUUCCACCAACGUUUAGUAUAGAUAGAAUUUGUGAGGGCAUUUUCUUAUCAUAUUAGGUAUUUCAAUCGUCUUCCUGUGAUAAUAUUUUCUAUAAUUGUGUUAAAGCUUCCAGUAACCUACGACAUGGUAAAUCUAUAGAAAUUAUAAACUUGAUAAUUACGUUCAUAGCACAAAAGCCUAUACGUACAAUCGUGUUUACUUGGUGUACAAGUAAGGAUCUUUUCAAAUUAGAAAUAUAAUCAGAACCAAAUUACAAUAUUAAUUGCUAAACCUUAAGAGAGACGAUUUCCUUGAACAAGACUCCUUCUCUAACAUCCCAGCAAACUGAACAGGAUGAAAUGAACUUUUUGAGUACCAAGCUUAACAUGUUCACGAACAAAAUGAUAAUCUAACUUGUUUGUACCAUAUUUGACCAAUCCCGAAACUACUGAGCACCGGUCAACGUUAUACCAUCAAGGACCCAGAAGAGUUUCCCUCCAACCAGGAGGUCAAUCACAAUGCGACACGUGUCGACAUCAGAAGUCAAUCACAUCACGACACAUAUCAACAACAACACGACACGUGUCAAUGUCAAAACAAAGUUAGAAACUCUUCUAUAAAAGGAGAUCAUUCUCCCACAAUAUUUCCUAGUCAUUUGUACUAAAUCAUUCACUAGUACUCACUAAAGGAGAGCUUGAACCUAUGUACUUGUGUAAAUCCUUCACAAUUAAUGAGAACUCCUCUACUCCUUGGACGUAGCCAAUCUGGGUGAACGUAUAUCUUCUGUUUGCUUCCCAGUCCCUAUCCAUUUACAUACUUAUCCACACUAGUGACCGGAGCAAUCUAGUGAAGGUCACAAACUUAAUACUUUCUGUUGUACAAAGUCUUCACUGAUUUUGUGCCUCAACGUAACUCAAUAUGCUUUUGUUAAAUUAAUGUUUGGUUUUCAAUGCGAUUGCCGGAGCUUACAGUGAGAAUCUUCCAUUGAUUUGUAUAGUUGGAGGGCCGAACUCGAACGAUUAUGAGACGAACAGGAUUCUUCACCAUACUAUUGGGUUGCCGGACUUUAGCCAAGAGCUGAGAGGCUUUCAGACUGUAACUUGCUAUCAGGUUAGUAUGAAAUCAAGAUUUUGGCUUUUUAAUUUAUUUUGGAAGUUGAAUUUGAUGAUUUUUAUUGGGUUUUGUGAAAGAUUUGUAGUGAGUUUGGUUUUGCUAAAUGUGGAAUGUGGGUUUUUACUUGGAUGUGGUAAAUAAUCACAAGAAUUACCAUGUUUGGUUGUUUAUUUUCUUAUUCAAAUUUAAUUUCAAUGAUUGUUAUUGGGUUUUGAUAAAUUUGGUAAAAAAGUUCAUAGUGAGUUUGAUUUUGCUUAAUUUGGCAUGUGGGUUUCACUAAGCUGUGGUAAAAAAUCUGGAAGUUGUACAUGAAUUUACCAAGUUUGGUUUUGUAUUUGCCAUUUAUUUCAGUCAAUUUUUUUUUUUGGGUUUUGAUGGAUUUGUUGAAGAAUUCAUAUUCAUUUGAUUUUGUUAAAUUAAUGUUUGGUUUUUUGCACUUUCCUGGUUCGUUUUUUAAAGUUUGCUAAUUUUGGUAUGUGGGUUUUUACUAGGCUGUGGUGAAUAAUCUGGAAGAUGCGCAUGAAAUGAUCGAUACCGCAAUUUCAACUGCUUUGAAAGAAAGCAAGCCUGUUUAUAUCAGCAUAAGCUGCAACUUGGCUGGAAUUCCUCAUCCUACAUUUAGCCGGGAGCCUGUUCCAUUUUCUUUAUCUCCAAAGUACACAUUUUUGGGUUUCUGAUUCCAUUUGGUUGAACCGUUCUGGAAAUGCUUAUUUUAGGUGUGAAAUUUAUAUGUUUGUUUGUUUUGGUCUGCAGAUUAAGCAAUAAUUUGGGCUUAGAGGCUGCGGUGGAGGCGGCUGCAGAGUUCUUGAACAAGGCAGUGAAGCCGGUUAUGGUUGGUGGGCCUAAACUUCGAGUUGCACAUGCCGGCGAUGCCUUUGUUGAACUUGCUGAUGCUAGUGGUUAUGCUCUGGCUGUCAUGCCAUCUGCAAAGGGGUUUGUACCAGAGCACCACCCCCAUUUUAUUGGAACAUACUGGGGUGCUGUGAGCACUGCCUUUUGCGCCGAGAUAGUGGAGUCCGCAGAUGCAUACUUGUUUGCUGGACCGAUUUUCAAUGACUACAGCUCUGUUGGAUACUCUUUGCUUAUCAAGAAGGAGAAGGCCAUUGUGGUGCAGCCUGAUCGCGUGACCAUAGCAAAUGGCCCUUCAUUUGGUUGUGUUCUUAUGAAGGAUUUCCUCAGAGCUCUUGCAAAGAAGCUCAGGCACAACAACACUGCUCAUGAGAACUACCGCAGGAUCUUUGUUCCCGAUGGACACCCUCUAAAGUCUGCACCGAAAGAACCUUUGAGGGUUAACGUUCUGUUCCACCACAUCCAGAAUAUGCUGUCAAGUGAAACUGCUGUGAUUGCUGAGACAGGGGACUCAUGGUUUAACUGCCAGAAACUGAAAUUGCCGGCUGGCUGCGGGUAAGCCAAGGAGAGAAUGUAGUUUUCAUGUUUCUUUCUAUGUUAUAUAGUUGAUGAUUUAAUUGGGAAGUUGGAAUUGGGUUUGCAGGUAUGAGUUCCAAAUGCAAUAUGGAUCAAUCGGUUGGUCAGUUGGAGCAACUCUUGGGUAUGCUCAGGCUGUUCCUCAGAAGCGUGUGAUUGCUUUCGUCGGUGACGGGAGUUUCCAGGUACAUUUAAUUUUCUCUAGCACUCUCUAAAUUUUAAAGUACCCUUAACAACCUUAUCAAAUUUUCUCAGUUAAUUACUCAGAUUUGUGGCAUAACAUUUCAUCAAUAUUACGAAUCAUCGGUCUUUUCAAUGUUUUGUUCAUGUGUUUAUGCUUUCAUUGUUUCAAUGCCUAAUAGGUGACUGCUCAAGAUGUGUCCACCAUGAUCCGAAAUGGGCAGAAGACCAUCAUCUUCCUGAUAAACAACGGCGGGUACACAAUUGAGGUGGAGAUCCAUGACGGACCCUACAAUGUGAUCAAGAACUGGAACUACACUGGACUGGUUGAUGCCAUCCACAAUGGGGAGGGCAAGUGCUGGACAACCAAGGUAAUCACUUUGUUAAUGCAUUCUAAUCGUCUCCAUAAUCUAUUCCUCCAACUAAUCAACCAAAGGGUUUCCUGGAUCGUCAAACUCCUUGUAACCGAAUCUGUUAAUUCUGCAGGUCCGUUGCGAAGAGGAGCUGAUCGAAGCGAUUGAGACUGCAACCGGGGCAAAGAAGGAUAGCUUGUGCUUCAUAGAGGUGAUUGUCCACAAGGAUGAUACCAGCAAAAAGUUGCUUGAGUGGGGGUCUAGGGUUUCUGCUGCCAACAGCCGCCCACCCAACCCUCAGUAAAAUUUUCCAUGUCAUUUCCUUUCAUCUACGCAGCGUCAUUCCUUCUCGUUAAGGGUUUCUUAUAUAUGUUUCAAUUUAACACAUUUUCCCGCGGUCUGUGUUUUCAGUUGGAAUUUUUGCUGGUAUUUAUGUAUAUUCCCCUUUGAAUUAAGAGUAUAUUUCUCAUCGUUUAAUUAGUUUAUGUGAUCUGAACGAGCAUUCGACUCAAAACUAAUUUGCGUAUUGCAUAUUAGUGCAAAUCGCAUUUCAAGUCUGAGACGACUUCCAAAUGCGUCUUGUUACGUGUAACGUGUGAAUCUUUUGUAUUUAUACGUGCAUAAUUCUUAUCGAGUGACACAACCAUGAAAAAUGAUAUUCUUAACAACUCCACGUGUUUAAACAACAUUGUUGAUUGUAACUAAUCAUGUGUCUAAUAUCAGGAUUACUUAGGAGCUAAUAUCUUCCAGCAUUGUUCGACCCAAAAUAUUAACCUAAUAAUUAUGUUUAAAUGUGUCAUUGUCGUAACUGGUUAAUUAUCAGUGCUUUAUGAGAAGGAAGGGACAGAAGAGAACCAUUUAUUUACAACUGGAAUCUAUGAAUACAACAAAAUGUGCACCAUUGUUUUUAUUUCGCGAUGUGUUUUUGUUGAUUUGAUUGCGUGGCAAGAUAUAGAAUUCACAGCUUGUUACUGAACAUUUAUUCUGUUUUAUAUUUAGUCCAUGAACUUUAAUCUUAGUUUAGAUUUGAUUCAUAUCACAUAUUUAGAUUUGGAUAUAUGAGACCCACAUGUAUGAAACGUAAUCAUACAAGCAAAACUUUUAAUGGAAGUUAAUGAUAUGGGCCAAUGGUUUGAUGAAUCCUAUCCAACUUUCAGGCAUUAAGAUACAUUUCAGGAAUGGAUGGUUAUCAUAAAGGAUUCCCAGCAUAUCAUAGGAUUUCCUUUUGUGAAAAUCCGCACUUUUUCAAACCUAGAAAACAGACGGGAUUCUAGGAUUCCUUCUUGGGGCAAAUACUUUUAUGCAUUCCUCUUGCGGUUGAUCUAAAUGACUUAAAUUGCUCCGAAUUACUAUUUUCAUGGUUCUUGAUUGAAGAAAGUUGAUGUUUUGCCAUAAACUAAUUGACUAUAUAUAAGUAGCCCAACUUAGUUAUAAGCCAAUGCAAGAUCCCUCAUCCACUCACCGUGAGAUUUAUUCUCAACACGUCUCUUCACGUGUGACAAAUUUUCAAGCUUAGCAUGUGAAUAAUACAAAUCAAGUGACAUGUUGCAUCAAUGGCAGUUUGGUUUCACCCACAAGACAAACUUGCACUGAUACUAAAAGAAAGUUGAGAUUCUACCAUAACAAAAUUGAAAUAUUAGAAGUAACCCAACUUACUUAUAAGCAUAUGCACAGUCUCUCUUCCUUUAAUGUGAAAUUCAUUCUCAACACAAAUUGCUGUUUAUUUGUGUUCUCGUUUCUUAGUUGCAUGAGAAGUCAAUCAAGGUGUAGGCAGUGAGAAUUUUUUUUAUUUUUUUAUAUUUUUUUAUUUAUUGAAACAAGCAGUGAGAAUCUUUACCAAAUCCAAUUCCGAACCUUAGCCGGUAACUGAUAGCAUAUUCUAGGUCCUCCUCCAUCAGCGGUGUGUGGAUUUUCUUGGAAAUUGACGUCGAUAGGGAAUCAUCUUUGUUAGCCAUGCAUCAUUGUCCGCCAUGUUGUCAAACAAUUGCUCGAAUAAACCAAAUAGACGGCACCUGGUAGGAAAAGUGGGAUACCCAUGCGGCAUCAUUGUACUGGGGUGCUUUGAUAUUUGUUUGAUACUCAUUUGUAGUGUGUUUGUAGAGCGAUUUUUCAGUAUGAUCGGAAUACGGAAUAGUACAUUACAUGUCAUUAUAUAAGUGAUGAGAUAUUUGUGUUUAAAAAUUAACAAUUUUAAAAAAAAAAUUUCCUACAAAAAUAAAAUUUCUCACCACUUAUAUAAUAAUACGUGAUGUAUCAUUUGUAUUCUGAGCACAAUGACAAAUUUCUCGUGCUGAGACUCCACAAUAAAGGCCAAUGAUGUAGAUAUCUUACCAAAAUAAAUAAGUUAGGUGAUUUUUACUAAGCCACUAGGAAUAGCCUAGUGGUGAGGAUGUGGGUAAGGGGUGGGGUAGUUCUAGGUCCCAGGUUCGAAACCUGGUGUGUGUGUUUGUGUUUGUGUGGGUGGUGGAGGGUAAUUAAAAAAAAAAAAAAAAAAAAAAGUUAGGUGAUUUUUACACUGCAUGUAAACGCAUAUACGCAUUUCCCGUGAAGAAUGCAAGUAUUAUCCUUGUUAAUGCAAGUAUUAUCCUUGUUUUCGUAUACAUCUUUCUUUCUAACCGUUGAGAUUAAGACUCAACGAUUAUAAAGAGUCACGUGGACUAAAAUCUUAUAUAAAAUCUUGGUAAUUAGUUCUCAAUUUUACACGUGUCAUAACCAAAAUAUUUGUCGGUACACACUUCUUAAAAAAAUUGUUCCAGAACAUAUAUUUACAUAGGUGUAAAUAUUAGUUUAGUUAUGUAGACAAUACAUAGUAGUUGAUGUGUGAGUGAUGUACCAUAAUAUUUCUCAAUAUGCUAACAAGUAAUAAAAUAUUGAGAAGAAUAAAAUAUAGCCCUUGUAUCAGGAGCUAAAGGAGUAGACUAAGUCUCAUAAAAUAGGCUAGUAAUAAUAAGGUUUAAAUUCGUCUUUAACGAGAAUCGAAUCUUAACUUCUCACUUACAAGUAAAAAAGAAUAUUACUAAACCCGUACCUAGUACUAAGUAUCAACUAUUGGAGAUGGCCUAAUGUUUGGUGUGUAUAUUUAGGAACGGGAGCUAAAUACUUGACAACUAUGGAGUUCAAAAACGCUGUAAUUUUGACAACUAAAAACGAAAUGGUAAUCAAAUGGUAAUCAUGAAAAUGCAUUUUGUUACUACUAACCUCUGCGAGAACACAAAUUUGUGAAGAUUGAGAUUCAUGAAAAGGCAUACCAAGGAUCACAAUGCAAUACCGUUUAAGCCACCAAAGAGCAUUCGUCUAUUUACAACAAAAUUUCGAUGAGAUGCGAUGGAUUUUACACCUACGGAUCAAUGCUUACAUUGCUUCGUGCGUGAACAAGACAACCAUUUUGGAGCAGGGUGCUCGACAGUUGGUAAUGUGAGAUUUUAAUCGCGGUAUGUUGGGGUGAGCGCUUCUACAUCGGUGGCAUCGGAGCUCCAUAGACAACAGUCUAUCAUCAUCUUUUAGCUUUGCUUUUCCAUCACUAGUGACUUCCUCUACUGCAUCCAUGGAGUCUCGAAAGAAAGCAGUGUUGAAGGAGUUCCACUGUUUCUUGUUCUUCAAAUGUGUUGAAUCGAAAUCCUGGCUAACAACAUGCAGAUGCAGCUGUCGCAUUGAGGGAUCCUGCAAGAGAUGAUAUCCCGAAAAUUCAAGUUUAUUAUUUACAUCUAGUCUGAUGUAUUAAUACUAACCUCACCAGCCCUUUAGCAAAAAGGAUUUCGAGAGGCAAUGUUGGAGAAAACGAAUAUAACAGCAAGCUCUAAGAAAAGUAGCAUGUGUACCGAGUGAUAUCCAAGACGGAAGACCAAACAUGAAUCAUCAUGCAAGUUGGAAUUGCGGUUGGGUCAUUUGUGUUGUGCAAGAGACGGAGUAAAUGGUACUACAUAGCUAAGUAUGUUGAGAAAGUCAAGGAUCAUCAUCAAGAUACUUGCCAUAUAUAUUGUAAUUAAUUAUAUUCCUAUUUUGUAUUAUGAGCUGUCUAUUAGUAGCUAGUUUGUAGGAAUUGAUUGUAAAUAUAUGACUACAUAUAGUAGUAUUGUAAAGACAAUUUCAAUUAAUGAGAAUCGGUGAAUUACCACCUUCCAAAAUUUACAUGGUACCAGAGCCUUUCCUGGGUUCUUAGUUCUUUUUUUCUUGGAUUAUGGUGGAGGAUUCAACGUCAGCAAUGGCUAAACUUGAACCAUCUAGUGAUCCUGCUAGUCCUUUCUUCGUUCAUCAUUCUGAUCACCCGGAAAUGAUGCUCGUUUCAACCAAACUUACCAGUGAAAAUUAUGGCACUUGGUGUCGUUCCAUGUCAAUUGCACUCAGUGCAAAGAACAAAUCAGGGUUUGUUGAUGGCAGUGUUGAACAACCAUCUACGAAGACAAAGCCCACAGAAUCUGCUCUUUGGCAACGGUGCAACGACAUGAUCCUUAUGUGGAUUAUCAAUACACUUUCCAGUGACCUGGCCACCAGUGUGGUGUACAUGACGACAACCAAAGAUGUUUGGGAUGAUAUUCGAGAACGUUUUUCUCAACAAAACGUGUCUCAUCUCUUUGAAAUCCAACGUGAACUUGCACGUCUUACACAGAGUCAACAACCUAUCAACGUGUAUUUCACCAAGCUUAAAGGUUUGUGGGAUGAGAUGGAUUCCUACCAAACUUUAAAGCCGUGUUCUUGCGGGGCUCUUCAAUCUAAUAACGAACAGGUGGAGAGAACCAAGGUUUUGCAGAUUUUAAUGGGGUUAGACGACUCGUAUUCUGCGAUUCGUGGGCAGAUCUUACUUAUUCAACCAUUGCCUUCGAUUCGAUCUGUCUAUUCCAUGUUGACACAAGAAGAGAAGCAGAGAGGCAUGGCUGUUAGGCCUCGCCUCGUUGAACCUGCAUCUAUGGCUGUUCAAACGAGCCAUGGCAACAAUGGCAACCAUGGAAAAGGAAGAUCAUCCGAGAGGAAGCCACUGCAUUGCUCAUACUGCGAUAAGGAUCAUCACGUUAUUGAAACGUGUUGGAAGCUCCAUGGCUAUCCACCGGGACACCGUCUUCAUGGUAAGUCCAGUAGUUCGAGUGGUUCUGGUGGGCGCUCCACCGCUGCACCGAGCGGCAAACCAGCUGUCAACAAUGUGGCCUCCACCGUUGCACUGUCCAUGCCCAACCUCACCACCGACCAAUUUCAGCAACUCUUAUCCAUGAUGAGUCAAAAGAUGGGUCUUGAUUCCAAGGCUAAUCUAGCAGGUGGGCCUCCUUCUUUCCAAUGGGUUAUAGACAGUGGUGCCACUGACCACAUAUCUAGUCUCCCAUUGACUAAUGCAACCUCAAAUCCUCAUCUACCACCUAUGGCAUUACCUAAUGGGACUCGGGUUCCUAUCAAUUCUAUUGGCACAUACAAUUUUGGUUCCCAAAUAUCUCUUUCUAAAGUGCUUGGCAUAGCUUCUUUUUUGAUCAACUUAAUUUUCGUUAGUCGGAUCACUCGAUCGUUGAGAUGCUCAAUAACCUUUUAUCCUGAUUUUUUUAUUUUACAGGACCUGGAGACGAGGACGAUGAUUGGUUGGGGGCGACAACAUAAUGGACUUUAUUAUUUGAUGGACUCCAAAGGGCGGACAUCACCUACAACUACCAAGGUUUUUUCCGUCACGUGGCACCGACGACUUGGUCAUCCUUCACCCUUGAGACUCCAACUCUUAGCUAAACAUUUUCCUGAAAGUUCAUUUUCUGAAAAUAAACCUUGUGACAUUUGCCCUUUGGCAAAACAAACUCGAUUGUCUUUUGGAUUAAGUCAUAUUAAUACUAAGCAUGCUUUUGAACUUAUACAUUGUGAUAUUUGGGGUCCCCAUAGAGUAGCAUCCUGUUCGGGUGCUCCUUAUUUCCUUACUAUUGUUGAUGAUUUUACUCGUUGCACUUGGGUUUAUCUCAUGCGUCAUAAAUCAGACACUCAAUCUUUGCUUAAAUCUUUCAUUGCCUAUGCUGAAACACAAUGUCACUACAAAAUUAAAACCAUUAGAACUGACAAUGGCGGCGAAUUUGUUUCUAUGAUUCCUUUCUUUAAUGAUCAUGGCAUACUUUUUCAACGCUCUUGUGUUUCCACCCCUCAACAAAAUGGGGUUGUGGAGCGCAAGCAUAUACAUAUUCUUCAAACUGCACGAGCUUUGCAUUUUCAGUCACAUAUUCCCUUGCACUUUUGGGAUGAAUGCAUUUUCACAUCCAUUUGCCUAAUUAACCGCAUUCCCACCCCUCUCUUAUCGGGUCUUACGCCUUAUGAGAAAUUAUUUGGCCACCCUCCUUCAUAUACCCAUUUACGCACUUUUGGGUGUUUAGCAUAUGCCACUAAUCUUCACCCCCACCAUAAGUUUGAUGCUCGGGCUAAGAAAUGUGUUUUCAUUGGGUAUCUUUUUGGCCAAAAAGCUUACAAAUUAUAUGAUCUUCAUUCCAAACAAAUUUUUACUAGUCGAGAUGUCACAUUUCAUGAGAAUAUUUUUCCAUUCCACCCAAAUCCUCACCCCUCAACAGUUACCCCGCACCCACAUACUGACCCAAACAAUGUCCCCAUCCCUUCCCACAUAGACCACCCCACUACCGACCCGGGCCUUUCUCCUGGCCCAGCACUAGUCCCACAAAUACCCACCUCUGCCACUGACGGGCUUGACCAAGUCUCAGUUCUUCCUGAUGGGCCUGCUCUCUCUCUGGACCCGUGUCCACCAUUUGCCCAGCCUUCCGCUGCAUCUCCUGCUCCUUUGCGCCAUUCCAGUCGCAUUCAAGUUCCGCCGACCAAGCUCCAUGAUUAUGUUUGUCCGACUAUUCCGUUGCCCCCCGCCAACUCCUCGCCUUCCAGUCCUCGUACAAGGUAUCAUCUUUCUAAUUAUUUGUCCUAUCAAGGGCUCUCUCCCAAGUAUCAAUCCUUCAUUGCACAAUUGUCUACUGUUUUGGAGCCUAACAGUUAUACAGAAGCUGCCAAACAUCCCCAUUGGUGCAAGGCCAUGGACGAGGAACUCCAGGCGUUUCAGGCCAAUGACACUUGGACACUUUCUCCUCUCCCUUCCGGGAAGGUACCAAUUGGCUGUCGGUGGGUUUAUAAAAUCAAAAGAAAAUCUGAUGGGAGUAUUGAGCGUUACAAAGCUCGGUUGGUUGCUAAAGGUUACACCCAAUUAGAAGGUAUUGACUAUCAUGAUACCUUUUCUCCCACGGCCAAGCUUGUCACUUUCCGCUGCUUACUUGCUCUUGCUGCUACUCACUCAUGGUCACUUCAUCAACUUGAUGUCCAUAACGCAUUCCUUCAUGGUGAUCUCAUGGAGGAAAUCUACAUGCUUCCCCCGCCUGGUCUUCGGCGACAGGGGGAGAAUUUGGUGCGUCGCCUUAAUAAGUCGAUUUAUGGGUUGAAGCAAGCUUCUUGGCAAUGGUUUUUCAAGUUCUCACAAGCUAUUCGAUCAGCUAGUUAUGUUCAAUCUAAAACAGACUACUCACUUUUCACUAAAAGAAGAGGGAAGUCAUUUACUGUGCUUCUCAUCUAUGUGGAUGACAUACUGAUAACGGGGAAUGACUUGAAAGCAAUUGAUGAUCUCAAAUCCUUUUUGAAUACCAAGUUUCGUAUCAAAGAUCUUGGUAAUUUGAAAUAUUUUUUGGGAAUUGAGGUGGCACGAUCGAAACAAGGUAUUUUCAUUUCACAAAGAAAGUAUUUAUUGGAUAUCCUAAAUGAUGUUGGUUUUCUAGGAUCACGGCCUGCAAGCUUUCCUAUGGAACAAAAUCUCAAAUUACUCCCUGAUGAUGGGCAUGCAUUGGAUGAUCCAGUCAAGUACAGAAGAUUGAUUGGUCGGUUGAUAUAUCUCACUAUAACCCGACCGGAUAUUACAUAUUCAGUUCAUUUAUGGAGUAGAUUCAUGCAAUCACCUCAAAAGUCUCAUUAUGAAGCAACUUUACGCAUCUUAAAGUAUUUGAAAGGCACACCAGGGCAAGGCAUGAUGUUUCCAUCUCAAAAUUCAUUGAAGUUAAAGGCAUAUUGUGAUUCCGAUUGGGCAGGAUGUCCUACCACUCGGCGUUCCACUACUGGUUAUUGUGUUUUCCUUGGAAAUAGUCUUAUUUCAUGGAAAAGCAAAUGAUAGAAAACUGUAUCCUUAUCUUCUGCUGAAGCUGAAUAUAGAUCCAUGGCAGCAGCAUGUUGUGAGCUUGCGUGGCUCCAAAGCCUUUUUCGAGAUCUUCAAGUUCAAGACCAAGGGUCGGCUACCUUGUUAUGCGACAAUCAAGCCGCUCUCCAUAUUGCUGCAAAUCCGGUAUUUCACGAGCGAACAAGGCACAUUGAGAUUGAUUGUCAUUUUGUUCGAGAUAAGAUUAUGGAAGGAAAAAUUGUGACGGGAUUUGUUCCUUCCAUAUCACAACUUGCUGAUUUGUUCACUAAAGCUCUUGGGAAGGAAAUAUUUCAUUCUUUGCUAGGCAAGUUGGGAGUUCGAAACAUUCACUCACCAACUUGAGGGGGAGUGUUGAGAAAGUCAAGGAUCAUCAUCAAGGUACUUGCCAUAUAUAUUGUAAUUAAUUAUAUUCCUAUUUUGUAUUAUGAGCUGUCUAUUAGUAGCUAGUUUAAAGGAAUUGAUUGUAAAUAUAUGACUACAUAUAGUAGUAUUGUAAAGACAAUUUCAAUUAAUGAGAAUCGGUGAAUUACCACCUUCCAAAAUUUACAAAGUAUAAAAUCCUUGUUAAGAUAUUCCCUCAUUUUGAUGAAAGAAUUGGUCAUCACCGAAGACAUGUUCACAUAAAUCAAAGGCCAAGACAUUGAAAUUGUUCUGAGGGGCAAUGCAGCUGGCCUCGUUGUUCUGCCUGUGUUUGGCAAGAAACAAGAGAUAUGCUUCUGCUGUCACAUAAGUAUAAAGUACAAGAUGUAGUGUGAGCUUGUUCUGUUACUUUUUAAUAUUUUGAUGUUGCAAGUUUUUAAUCGUAAAAGGUAGAUAACAAAGACAUAUUUGCAAUCAAAAUUUUCACUGUUUUUUAUUCGUCUUUUCGAUACAAGAAUCAACAUUAUUCAUUACCAGAAGGACAUAUUCGCGAACAAAUUUUCGUAAGUACGGAAUUUGACACAAAGUACAAAUCAUAAACUACGAAAAACAGAAUUGUUUGGUGAUCCAAGCAACACUAAGGGCUGGUUUGGUAUUGCUGUGCUUUGAAAAAAAGUUGCUGUGAGAAUAAGCGGCUGUGCUGUGAGAAUAAGCGGCUGUGAAAUAAAGCCAGUAGAGUGUUUGGUAAACUUUUUUGUGAAAGUGCUUUUGGAAAAAAAAGCAGGAUGAUAGUGUGUCUUUUCAUUAAAGGAGCACUGUAGCUCCAUGUGUUUUGAAAAAACUGGCUUUUUUUCAAAGCAGCAAAUAGCAGCUUCAGCUUUUCCUUUGAUUUUCAGCUUAUUCUCACAGCAGCUUCCAAAAUAAGCCCUUUUUUUCAGUUUACCAAACACAAAAAUGACCCUCAGCUUUUUUUCACAGUGGCUUUUUUUAAAAUCACCUCAAUCCCAAACGGGGCCUAAAUCAAACAGUUUUAUUUAAUCGAGCUUCAUUUUACUGUGUCUUCACUUUUUUAGGCUUUGGUUCCUAGCUCUUUCUUUUACGGUUUCUCCUCUUCUGUUUAAUAUCAUGAACAUUUACUCUGUUAUAUCUUUGAUUUUUCUGGAUGAAGACUUCCUAGUCAAGCAAAACGACGACAAAUCUGAUGGAGAUAUUUUCCACAACAUUAAAGCCGCCACCGCAUCAAUACAAGCUGAGUGGGAGAAUCCCUUCGUAUUCCGGUGACCUACGGCAUGUUAAAUCCAUGGACAUGUCGAGUUCCACCAGAGUGCGAAACUUACUUUCCAUUCGCUUUUUGAAUCUCUCAAAUAAUCAGCUCGUCGGUAGGAUCUCAAUGGGUACUCAGCUUUCGACAUUUCCAAUAGCUUCCGUUACAGGAAACAAAGGAUUAUGGAGUCCACCUUUUAACGGUGGAUACAAAGCAGAAUUGUCAUCACCACCAACAUUCACUUGUCAUCACCACCAAACAUUGAAUGGACGCCUUCCAAAUUCUGGACAUCGUCAUGAGAUACUUGCGAUCUUUAUGUUUGAAUUUGUUAAGACCUCUCUCCGUAUACUUUCCUCAUUUAUCAAGCACAAAAAAAAAAUAUGAAAACCAAAGUCAAAAUGAAAUGGUUAUCAUGAAAUGCUUUAAUCCACUUGUAGAAUUAAACACAAUUUCAUUAAUUAUCCCACCUGUAGCCUUGUAAAAGAGAUACUUAAGCAUGGUUUGAAAGUGUUUUUAAAAUAAUUGAAAUCGCUUUUAAAGCAAAUGUUAUUAAGUUUUAAAACCAUUUGAAGUGCUUUUUGGAUCGAAGAAGCACCACUUCAAAUGUUUUUUCCAAGAUUCACUUGCGUUUUUACUAAAAAUUGAUUCCAAAAAUAUUUUUACUAAAAUGACUUUCGGUUAUUUUAAAAAUACUUUCAAACAAGUUAUUAAAUAAAAUCAAGAGGAUAAUGCAUAUAUCUGAACGUAGGGAUUACACUCCCUUGCAUGAAGGUUUAGCCCCUCUCUUGUCAACAUUGAAAAACACAACCCACAAUUUAAACCCCACAAGGAAUAUGGGGAAAGACUUUGAAGUCAACAAGUCAAGCAAACCACAAAUUUGGUAGAAACCAUCACCACCUUUUUCUUAGCGUCUCUAAGAGCCAUACAUACACAUGUUAAUCCAUUAAGUCACUUUAGUUAUUUAGAAUCCGUUUGAUAAUUAUUAUUUGUGUUUUUGUAUUUUUAUUUUUUAAAAUUAAAAGUAGUUACUAAAUAAGUUUUUAAUUUAAAAAAAAAGAUAAACAAAAUGGUUAUUAAACAACCUAUUGGAGCAUGGAAAUUAUUUUAUAUUUUGUUUGUAGUUUUCACUUUUUUGUACUUGAGAUAAGGGAAAAUGGGAGAUGAAAUGGUUAUACAUGUAGAUGUUGUGCAGUGCAAAACUAAAAUUCAAAUUACAACCACAUCACAACAAAUCACAGUUCAAUAAAAUGGGGUAUUGUGUGAAAAUUAAAAUGUGGCCCUUUCACUCACAAGACUUUUUUUUGUGUGUUUAAAAGAUUUUUUUUUCUUCUAUGGCAUAUUUAUAGAAGUACAAAAUUUAGUCUGAAAGUCAACUUUGUAACACAAUAUCUUCUACUGAAUAAUAGAUAUAGAAGAAUUUAAAGGAAGACAUAUGUUAAAGAAAUGAAGUUUUUAACCAAGAAAAAAAUAUAUAAAAAGAUACAGUAUUUCUAAAACAAAAAACCAUUUGGGUAUUUUUCAAAUUUGUACUUAGUUAAGUUAUGCAUAUAUAGUUUUUUUUUGGAAUAUAUAAAACUGAAAUAUGUAUAUAUAUAUAUAUAUUAUAUGGAAGCUAAUCUAAAGUAUUUGUUCAAUUUAUCCAGUUAGUAACAUCACCUUAAUCGCUUUUGUAGAAUGCCGCUUCCAACCAAAUAAAUUAAAGGAAAACUAAUGAAAAGGGUUUGAAAACUUUGAGUUUUAACGAUAAGAACAAAAUAAAGGGUAAAAUGAAUAGUACCAUGAUUGACUUUUUAAUGUAAAAAUGUGGUUUUUCGUUAAAGUGAACAGUACCGGGAACUUUUCGUUAAAAUUCCCAUAAAUUAAACAUGAUUUCAUUAAUUACCCCACUUGUAGCCUUGUAAAAGAGAGACUUAGUACAGAUUUGGUACUAAUGUGCUUUCAUAAAAAAUGGGUAUAAAAAAAAGCUGAGCUAAAAAAGGUGUUUGGUAAACACUUAAAUACAACUUAUUUUCAUAGUUUUGAUGAGGGAAAAAAAUCUAAAAAUGUAAAGUAGCAAAAAUGAGCUUAUUCUCACGGCACAUCAGAAACAAUUUUUUUUUUCAAAGCACAACAAUAUCACCAGCCCUUAGGCUUUGUUUGGAAGUGCUUUUAAAAUUAUUGAAGACGCUUUUAGAGAAUGUUAUUGGGUCCUAAAAAUGCUUGAAGUGGUUUGUAGAAGAAACAUCAUUUCAAGUAAUUUUCCAAGAUUCACUUUUUUUUUUUACUAAAGAUUGGUUCUAAAUUUUUUUUACUUCUAAAAAUGUUUUUAAUCGUUUUAAAAAUAGUUUCAAACUAGCUUUUAUAUGAAUCUAGGAGUAUAACGCAUAUCUGAACGUGGGGUAUACACUGUUUCGUGAAGUUUUAGCCCCUCCGUAGGGGCAAAAUUUUACCCUCUCUUUUCCACUCAAUAGUCUGUCAACAUUGAAUAAAACAACCUAUAGUUCAAACCCCACAAGGGUGGGGAAAGACUUUAAAGUCAUCAAGUCAAGCAAACCACAAAAUUAUACCCCUGUACAUACAUUACCAUCACCACGUUUUCUGUAGUAUGGCUCGCUUAAGUUUCCGCCAUUUUGUCAAACAAUUGCUCGAAUAAUCCAAAUAGACGGUACCUGGUAGGAAAAGUGGGAUAGCCAUGCGGCAUCAUUGUACUGGUGUGCUUUGAUAUUUGUUUGAUACUCAUUUGUAGUGUGUGACCAGAGUACGGGGUAGUACAUUACGUGUCACUAUAUAAGUGGUGAGAUAUUUGUGUUUAAAAAUUAACAACUUAAAAAAUAAAAUUUCUCACCACUUAAAUAAUAACAUAUAGUAUACCACUUAUAUUCUGAGCAUAAUAAAAAAUUUCUGAUGCUUAUGAAACUCCACAAUAAAGGCCAAUGAUGUAGAUAUCUACACAAAUAAAUAAGUUAGGUGAUUUUUACACUACAUGUAAACGCAUAUGUGCAUUCCCCAUGAAGGAUGCAAGUAUUAUCUUUGUUUUCGUAUGCAUCUUUCUUUCCAACUGUUGGGAUUAGGAUUCAACGAUGAUAAAGAGUCACGUGGACUAAAAUCUUAUAUGAAAUCUUGCUAAUUAUUUCUCAAUUUUACACGGGUCAUACCCGAAAUAUUUGUCGGUAUACACUCCUUAAACAAAUAUGUAAAUAUUAGUUUAGUUAUGUAGACAAUACAUAGUAGUUGAUGUGUGAGUGAUGUGCCAUAAUAUGAAUCCAGAUUUCUCCGGAUUUAAAAAAACUGAGCCUAAGGAUCAAAUGAUCCAGGCCAUUGAAAUUUGAUCUAAUUGCUACAAUUAUUAUAAUUUUUAGAGGGAUCCCCUGUUUGUAGCUGUUUGAUCAAAUUUCAAGGGCCCGAAUCAUUUGAUCCUUAGGCUUAGUUUUUUUAGAUCCGAAGAGGAUCUGGGUUCCCAUAAUAUUUCUCAAUAUGCUAACAAGUAAUAAAAUAUUGAGAAGAAUAAAAUCUAGCCCUUGUACCAUUGGAGAUGGAAAAUUAUAGCUAUGCUCUAUUCAAUUUUUUUUUUUAAACAAACUAUAUUAUCUACACUAAAGGGCUGAGAGAGUAAGCUAAGUCUCGUAAUGGGCUAACAAUAAUGAGGUUCAAAUUCGCAUUUGACAAGAAUCGAACAUAAGACUUCUGACUUACAAGUAAAGAAGAAUAUUACUAAACCCGUACAGUACUACUAAGUAUCAACUAUUGGAGAUGGCCUAAUGUUUGGUUGUAUAUUUAGGAGCGGGAGCUAAAUAUAUGACUACCAAGGAGUUCGAAAACGCUGUAAUUUCGACAACUAAAAACGAAAUGGUAAUCAUGAAAAUGCAUUUUAUUACUACUAACCUCUGCGAGAACACAAAUUUGUGAAGAUUGAGAAUCAUGAAAAGCCAUACCAAGGAUCACAAUGCAAUACCGUUUAAGCCACCAAAAAGCAUUUGUCUAUAUACAACAAAAUUUCGAUGAGACGUGAUGGAUUUUACACCUACGGAUCAAUGCUGACAUUGCUUGGUGCGUGAACAAGACGACCAUUUUGGAGCAGGGUGCUUGGAAAGGGGGCUCGACAGUUGGUAAUGUGAGAUUUCAAUCGCGUUAUGUUGGGGUGAGCGCUUCUACAUCGGUGGCAUCGAAGCUCCAUAGACGACAGGCUAUCAUCAUCUUUUAGCUUUGCUUUUCCAUCACUAGUGACAUCCUCUACUACAUCCAUGGAGUCUCGAAAGAAAGCAGUGUUGAAGGAGUUCCACUGUUUCUUGUUCUUCAAAUGUGUUGAAUCGAAAUCCUGGCUAAUAAAUUGCAGAUGCAGCUGUUGCACUGAGGGAUCCUACAAGAGAUGAUAUCCCGAAAAUUCAAGUUUAUUAUUUACAUCUAGUCUGAUGUAUUAAUACUAACCUCACCAGUCCUUUAGCAAAAAGGAUUUCGAAAGGCAAUGUUGGAGAAAACGAAUAUAACAGCAAGCUCUAAGAAAAGUAGCAUGUGUACCGAGUGAUAUUCAAGACGGAAGACCAAAGAUGAAUCAUCAUGCAAGUUGGAAUUGAGGUCGGGUCACCUGUGUUGUGCAAGAGGCGGAGUAAAUGGUACUACAUAGCUAAGUAUAUAAUCCUUAUUAAGAUAGUCCCUCAUUUUGAUGAAAGAAUUGGUCCUCACCGAAGAAUGUUCACAUAAAUCAAAGGCCGAGACGUUGAAAUUGUUAUGAGGGGCAAUGUAGCUGGCCUCCUUGUUCUGCCUGUGUAUGGCAAGAAAUAAGACAUUUGCUUCUGCUGUCACAUAAAUAUAAAGUAUGAGAUGUAGUGUGAGCUUGUUCUGUUACUUUUUGAUAUUUUAAUGUUGCAAGUUUUUAAUUGUAAAAGGUAGAUAAGAACGACAUAUUUGCGAUCAAAUUUUUCACUGUUUUUUAUUCUUCUUUUCGAUACAGGAAUCAACAUUACUCAUUAUCAGAAGGACAUAUUCGCCAACAAAUUUUCGUAAGUACGGAAUUUGACACAAAGUACAAAUCAUAAACUACGAAAAACAGAAUUGUUUGGUGAUCCAAGCAACACUAAAUCAAACAGUUUUAUUUAAUCGAGCUUCAUUUGACUGUGUCUUCACUUUUUUUGGCUUUGGUUCUUAGCUCUUUCUUUUACGGUUUCUUCUUUUUUGUUUGUAUUGCUCUGUUUGUUUGAUAUCAUGAACAUUUACUCUGUUAUAGCUUUGAUUAUUCUAGAUGAAAACUUCCUAGUCAAACUAAACGACGAAAAGCCUGAUGGAGAUAUUUUCCACAACAUUAAAGCUGCCACUGCAUCAAUACAAGCUGAGUGGGGGAAUCCCUUUGUAUUCCGGUGACCUACGACAUGUUAAAUCUUUGGACAUGUCAAGUUCCACCAGAGUGUGCGAAACUUACUUUCCUUUUGCUUUUUGAAUCUCUCAAAUAAUCAGCUCGUCGGCAGGAUCUCAACGGGUACUCAGCACAUUUCCAAUAGCUUCCGUUACAAGAAACAAAGGAUUAUGGAGUCCACCUUUUAACGGUGGAUACAAAGCAAAAUUGUCAUCACCACCAACAUUGAAUGGACGCCUUCCAAAUUCUGGACAUUGUCAUGAGAUACUUGCGAUCUUUAUGUUUGAAUUUGUUAAUACCUCUCUCCGUAUACUUUUCUCAUAUAUCAAGCACAAAAAAGUGAAAGCAAAAGUCAAAAUGAAAUGGUUAUCAUGAAAUGCUUUAAUCCACUUGUAGAAUUAAACACAAUUUCAUUAAUUACCUCACCUGUAGCCUUGUAAAAGACACUUAAUCAUAGUUUGAAAGUGCUUUUAAAAUAACUGAAAGCGCUUUUAAAGAAAAUAUUUUUAGGUUUCAAAAAUACUUGAAGUGCUUUUUGGAUCGAAGAAGCACCACUUCAAGUACUUUUUCAAAAAUUCACUUACGUUUUUACAAAUGAUUAAUUCCAAAAAUAUUUUUACCUAAAAGACUUUCAGUUAUUUUAAAAAUACUUUCAAACAAGUUAUUAAUUAAAAUCGAGAAGAUAAUGCAUGAGUUUGAACGUGGGGAACACACUCCCUUGCGUGAAGUUUUAGCCCCUCUCUUGUCAACAUUGAAAAAACAACCCACAAUUUAAACCCCACAAGGAAUAUGGGGAAAGACUAUGAAGUCAACAAGUCAAGCAAACCUCAAAAUUGGUACGUUUUUCUUAGCGUCUCUAAGAGCCGUACAUACACACGUCAAUCCAUUUGAGUCACUUCAGUUAUUUAGAAUCCGCUUGAUAGUAAUUAUUAUUUGUACUUAAUUAAGUUGUGCAUAUAUAAUUUUUUUUGGAAUAUAUAAAACUGAAAUAUAUAUAUAUAUAUAUUAUAUUGGAAGCUAAUCUAAAGUAUUUGUUCAAUUUAUCCAGUUAGUAACAUCACUUUAAGCGCUUUUGUAGAAUGCCGCUUCCAACCAAAAAAAUUAAACAUGAUUUCUUAAUUACCCCAUUUGUAGCCUUGUAAAAGAGAGACAUAGAUUUUGUUUGGAAGUGCUUUUAAAAUUAUUGAAAGCACUUUUAGAGAAUGUUAUUGGGUCCUAAAAAUACUUGAAGUGCUUUGUAGAAGAAGCAUUACUUCAAGUGAUUUUCCAAGAUUCACUUUUAUUUUUACUAAAGAUUAGUUCUAAAAACAUUUUUUUUUCUUCUAAAAAUGCUUUUAAUCGUUUUAAAAACAGUUUCAAACUAGCUCUUAUUUGAAUCUAGGAGUAUAACACAUAUCUGAACGUGGGGUAUACACUGUUUCGUGAAGUUUUAGCCCCUCUGUUGGGGUGAAAUUUUACCCUCUCUUUUCCACUCAACAGUCUGUCAACAUUGAAUAAAACAACCUACAGUUUAAACCCCACAAGGGAUAUGGGGAAAGACUUUGAAGUCAACAAGUCAAACAAACCACAAAAUUAUACCCCCCCUAUACAUACAUUACCAUCACCACGUUUUCUGUAGUAUGGCUCGCUUAAGUUACCAAACGAAUUUUCAAUUUUUGAAAAAAAUAAAAAAUGAAAAAUGAAAAUAGAAUGAUUAAUAAACGGCUUUUUGGAGCUUGAAAGUCGUUUUGUUUGUUUGUUUGUUUUUUUUUUGUGUGUUGAAAUUUGUUGAUAAUCAUUUCUUUUGCUCGUCAUCAUUUUUCUCUUUCAUCUUACAAAAAACCAAAAUAUCUAUUUACGGUAUUCUGUGUGGCAUGGUUUGAAGCGUGUUUUACCUAUUCUGAAUAAUAAUAAUUGUUGAAUUAUUAGUGAUGGGAGGUCAGUUUUCUUUUAACUCAACAAAUGAUCGGAUGAGCCUAUUAUUAGCUAUUCUUUAUCUUCAAUCAUUCCAUCUAAAGUUCUUCCUUGAGUUUCAAAAGUUAUUGAAGCACAAAAUUAGUUUUUGUCAGAUUAUUUUAUUAAUUUAUUUCCUUCCGUGGUGCAACAAGAUUUACACCAAUGUUUAGUGUAGUUGUAGUUAGGCACUAACUCAUUCAAGUGUGUUUCUAUGGAAGCUAAUCUAAAUUAUUUGUUCAAUUUAUCCGGUUAGUAACAUCACUUCAAGUGCUUUUUGUAGAAUGCACUCAUAGAAUGCCGCUUUUGACCAAAAAAUUAAACAUGAUUUCCUUAAUUACCCCCUUGUAGUCUUGUAAAAGAGAGACUUAGGCCUUGUUUUGAAGUACUUUUAAAAUUAUUGAAAACGUUUUUAGAAAAAAAUGUUUUAGGGUCUCAACAACAAUUGAAGUGUUUUGUGGAGGAAGCAUCACUUCAAGUGAUUUUUCAAUAUUCACUUUUAUUUUUACUAGAGAUUAGUUCUAAAAUAUUUUCUCUAAAAAUGUAUUUAAUCAUUUUAAAAAUAUUUUCAAACAAAUUUUUAUAUGAAACUAGGAGUAUAACGCAUGUAUCUGAACGUGGAGUUCACUGUUUCGUGAAGUUUCUCUCUUUCCACCCAAUAGUCUGUCAACAUUGGAUAAAACAACUUAUACUUUGAAGUCAACAAGUCAAGCAAACCAUAAAAUUACACCCGCUAUACCUAUACAUACAUUAUCAUCACCACGUUUUCCUUAGUAUGGCUUGCCUAAGUUAUUCAAGAGUCGUUUGAUAACCUUCCUUUUAUUUUUAAACUGAAAAUAGUUAGUAAAUAAAAUUUUAUUUUUGAAAAAAAUAAAAACGAAUUGAUUAUUAAACAACAUUUUGGAACUUGAAAGUCGUUUCGUUUUUUUUUUGUGUUGAAAUUCGUUUGAUAAUUAUUUUUUUGCUCGUCAGUGUUUUCCUCUUUUGCCCUUUAAAAACCAAAAUAUCUAUUUACGAUCUUCUAUGUGGCAAGGUUUGAAGUGUGUUUUGCAUAUUCUGAAUAGUAAUAGUCAUUGAAUUAUUGAUGAUGAGUGGUCAUAGUACUUUUGGUAUAUGCAUAGCUUACAUUUUGAUUUUUGAUUUUUGAUUUUAUUUUUUUUGGUCAAUUGACGCGUGAGAACUAUAAUUUGGACUAUGAAGAACUUUAUAAAAUAUAGGACAAUUGUUUUACACAUUCCGAUAAACAAAGUGCAUAAACACACGUUCACAGUUCAACUUCAUCAUGGUUUCAGCUGAGUUUAGAUAGUAAUUUCUGUUUGUAUUGCCUUAGUGAGUCCAUAGCCACUGGAAAAUGAAGAUAGGAAAGCAACACAAUCAGACUUGAACGCUAUGUUGUCUUAUACAAAUUUCUAGAAAUCAAUUAAACUUUAUCAGAAAUCAUGAAUUGAGACAACCAAGACUUCAAAAUCAACGUCAACCCGUAAAGCCAAGAGAAAUUUUUUGAAAUGUUAUAUGAACUUAUAAACCUUCUUCAAUUUGUUAUAUAUGAACUAAAAUUUCAAGCGAUUUAUUAUACCAACUUUCUGAAUCAUUAAUUUCUCAUCUAACUCUAACUUCGUUAUGUUUCCUUCAAAAUAACUCAUAUGCAAGGCACCCAUAACUUAUGUUCAGGAGUAAUAUUUCAGACAUUUCAACCAGUGUCGCCCUCAUAUCUGCCCUUUGCAUUUAAUAACCACAAAAGGCAUCAAAAUGCCUUUCAUUCGUCUCUGUUUUUUAGGCACCGAAAGGCAAAGGCAUUUUACCUUUCUUUUUUUUUAGUCUGUUUUCUGUUUGCUGUGAACAUUCCCUUUCAUUUGAACCACAUUAUUACUAACAUUCCUUUUCAUUUGAACCACAUUAUUACUAGUUCAUUAUAAUAUUAAAUUCACAAUUUUUCUUUAAUAUUAAUAAUAUCAUUUGUUCAAAAACAAAAAACCCAUAAGAGUAUAUUUCCAAAUUUAUUGGGGUCAAAGGAUCUCAAUGCACCUUUGUUGGCUCCACUAAUGAAAACAAGUCAUUGCAAAGUACGUGAUUUAUUUUAGAUAGAAAACUUAAUAGAAUUGGUAUGAGAAAUCGCUUAAAUAUUAAUUCAUAUGAUAAAUUAAAAAAAAAGUGUAAAAAUUCCUAUAACAUUUCAAAUUUUUUUCCUAAUCUAACAAUUCUACAGUGUCAUAUAUAAAUCCAAGUAUAUUAAUUAGUAUCUUUCAUGCGACAAAUUUCCACUUGCCACAUUGCCUAAAGUAGUACUACAAUUACUCUUAAGCAAUAAUAUUUCGCUAUUGAAAAAACAACCCACAAUUUAAGCCCCACAAGGAAUAUGGGGAAAGACUUUGAAGUUAACAAGUCAGGCAAACCAUAGAUUUGGUAGAAAUCAUCACCACGUUUUUCUUAGCGUCUCUAAGAGCCAUACAUACACACGUCAAUCCGUUUGAGUCGCUUCGGUUAUUUAGAAUCCGUCUGAUAAUUAUUAUUUUUUUAUUUUUUAAAAUUAAAAGUAUUUUCUAAAUAAGUUUUAAAUUUUCUUUAAAAAAUGAUAAACGGAAAAUAAAAACGAAAUAAUUAUUAAACAGCCUACUUGAGCUUGGAAAUUAUUUUAUUUUUUUGUUUGUAGUUUUCACUAUUUUGUACUUGAGAUAAGGGAAAAUGGGAGAUGAAAUGGUUAUACAUGUAGAUGUUGUGCAAUUGGUUGUGCGGAACUAAAGUUCAAAUUACAACCACAUCACAACAAAUCACAGUUCAAUAAAAUGGGACCCCCACAGCCGACACUGACUAAGACCAAAUUGGUCUUUGGCUCACACGCCAUUACACAUUCUAUAAUUACAAAGAAGAAUAACUAGGGACCUGCCUAAGCUGUUCCUUCCUUACAUUUGUGUCACACAUCAGCAACAACCUCCGAUGAAAACUCCUCUGCUUUCAUGGCUUUUCUUACUCCGCAUUUGCUAUGUUUCACUCACCUUCCAUACGUUUGUGGUCUCUACCCAAUGUCCCGGCGAUCAGCAAUCUUUGCUGCUAAAAUUGAAGGACAGCCUCACAUUUGACCCUGCAACGUCUCGAAAACUUGUGAAGUGGAACAAUGCCUCGGACUACUGCUCUUGGGAAGGAGUGUCCUGCAAACAGGGUUGUGUUUCGAAUCUGGACUUGAGCAACGAGGCGAUUACUGGGGGACUUGAUAAUUCCAGUCCUCUUUUCGGUCUGAAGUCGAUCGAGAACCUGAAUUUGGCUUACAACAACUUCAACUACACUCAGAUUCCUUCCGAGUUCAAGCAGCUAACAGGUUUGACCAAUCUGAACUUGUCGAAUGCUGGCUUUGCGGAGCAGGUUCCGAUUGAGAUUUCGCACUUGACGAGGUUGGUAACUCUUGAUUUGUCUACCCUCGUUAUUCAGUUGAAUCUUGAGAAGCCGAAUUUGAAAGUGCUCAUUCGGAACUUUUCUGAGCUUGUUAAACUUUAUCUUGAUGGCGUGAAUAUAUCAGCACAGGGGACUGAAUGGUGCCAAGCUAUAUCAUCUUCACUGCCAAAAUUGAGGGUGCUGAGCUUGUCCGCUUGUUCUCUUUCAGGCCCUAUUGAUAGUUCAUUACUGAAGCUUCAAUCGCUCUCGGUUAUUCGUUUAGAUUACAAUGAUUUCUCUAUUCAAGUUCCUGAGUUCUUCUCAAAGUUCCCAAAUUUGACUUCCUUGCACCUAAGCGAUUCUGGCUUAUAUGGUACAUUCCCAGAGAAGAUCUUCCAGGUACCUACACUACAGACUAUUGACUUAUCUUCGAAUCCACAGCUUCAGGGUUCCUUACCAGAAUUUCCAAAGAAUGCAUCUCUUCGGUCCUUGGUUCUAAGGAGGGCUAACUUUUCAGGGUUUCUACCGAACUCUAUUGGCAACCUCAAAAUGUUGUCCAACAUAGAUAUUUCGUGGUGCAAUUUCAUUGGAUCAAUCCCAAGGUCAACAGAACACCUUCAUCAAUUGGUUAAUUUUGACUUGCAAGGGAAUGAGUUCAAUGGUUCAGUUCCAUCCUUCAGUAUGGCAAAGAAUCUAACCUCGAUAUAUCUUUAUAACAAUCUACUUGAUGGGACUAUUCCGUCAUCUCUGUUUUCUCUUCCCAUGCUGCAACAUUUAGACCUUUCUAACAAUCUACUUGAUGGGACUAUUCCGUCAUCUCUGUUUUCUCUUCCCAUGCUGCAACAUUUAUACCUUUCUUACAAUCACUUCUCUGGCCAGUUACCUGAAUUUGGUAAUUUUUCUUCCCUACAAGUCCUUGAUUUGAGUAGCAAUAGUUUGGAAGGGCCUAUACCCAUGUCCAUCUUUAAUCUACGACAGCUUCAUUUUCUCUCACUUUCUUCAAACAACUUCAGUGGGUCCUUUCUGCUUAAUGAUAUUCAACAACUGAAAAAUCUCCAAGAACUUUAUCUUUCAUACAAUAGCUUGCUAAUUAAUCAUUACAGUUCCAAUUCCUCCUACUCCUGUCCUCAACUUCGCACAUUGAAAUUAGCUGCUGGAAAGUUGAGAACCUUUCCUGAUUUCUUGAGAAAUCAAUCAAUAUUAGAGGUUUUGGACCUAUCCCUAAACCAGAUCCAUGAAAUACCCAACUGGAUUUGGAGGCUUAGUACUCUUGGUGAACUAAAUCUUUCUUGCAACUCUCUGGUAAAUCUACCAGGUCCUUUCCUCAAUCUUUCUUUCUCUGUGCUUGACCUUCAUUCCAACCAGCUUCAGGGACCAAUUCCAAUGCUUCCACCAUAUGCCGGUUAUCUGGAUUACUCAAGAAAUAAUUUCAGCUCAAGCAUACCGGCAGAAAUUGGUGAUUUCCUUGUGAGCACUGUGUUCUUCUCUCUUGCAAGUAAUCACAUCCACGGGAUCAUUCCAGAAUCAGUAUGCAAGGCGACAUCUCUUGAGGUUCUUGAUCUGUCCAAUAAUUCCUUAAGUGGCAUGAUUCCCCAGUGCUUGACUGCAAGGAACGGGCCUCUUGCAGUACUUGAUUUAAGGAGAAACAAACUUUCUGGCACUCUUCCUGAUAAUUUUCCUGAGAACUGUAGUCUACAAACUCUAGACCUCAAUGGCAAUGUGAUUGGUGGUCAGUUCCCAAAAUCUCUAACCAACUGCACAAUGUUAGAGGUGUUAAACCUGGGAAACAAUCAGAUAACAGAUGUCUUUCCAUGCUCAUUGCAGAACAUAUCCAGCUUGCGUGUACUUGUCUUGCGUUUCAACAAAUUUUAUGAUAGCAUUGAAUGCCUCAAGACUAAAAGAGACUGGCCAAAGCUUCAAAUUAUUGACUUAGCUCGCAACAAUUUUACUGGCGAAAUACCAGGAAGUUUUUUGAAAACGUGGCAAGCAAUGAUGGCUGACAAAGAUGGUGCCGUGUCAAAGAUUAAUCACCUCCAAUUUCAAGUUUUAGUCAACGGCCAGGUGUACUAUCAGGAUACCGUAACAGUUACCACCAAAGGUCAAGAGAUGGAAUUGGCAAGGAUCUUAACAGUCUUCACCUCAAUUGACAUCUCCUGCAACAAUUUUAAUGGAUCAAUACCUGAGGAAGUGGGAAAGCUCACAUCACUUCAUGGCCUAAACUUGUCCAGUAAUGCUCUCACAGGCGCAAUCCCAUCAUCAUUAGGUAAUCUACGACAGCUUGAGUCCUUAGACCUUUCGGACAACAAAUUGAGCGGAACAAUUCCAUCACAACUUUCCAAACUUAAUUUCCUCUCAUUCCUAAAUCUGUCGAGCAAUCAACUUGUCGGGAAGAUUCCAACCGGCACUCAGAUUCAGUCUUUUUCAGCAGAUUCUUUCGCAGGCAAUAAAGGAUUAUAUGGGCCACCGUUAGAUGACGGAUCACCAAGGUUGCCACCAACAUUAGAAGGCAAACAUUCUAAUUCUGCGCACAGAAUUGAUUGGGAUCUUAUCAGUGUUGAAGUUGGAUUUAUUGUUGGCUUUGGAGUUGCGGUCGGGUCACUUGUGUUGUGCAAGAGAUGGAGUAAAUGGUAUUACAAAACAAUGUAUAAAAUCCUUGUUAAGAUAUUCCCUCAGCUUGAAGAUAGAAUUGGUCCUCACCGAAGACAUGUCCACAUAAAUCAGAGGUUCAGACGCUGAAGUUAAUGAUCAUGGGGACCAAUGGAGCUGGACCUCAAGCUAUGCCUGGGGAAUUUGAGAUCCAACAAAUAAGAGGUUUGCUUUUUGGUUUUACCUUUUAAAUUUGUGUAUGUUAUAGUUAUAUUUGUAAUAGUUUAUUGUGUAUCUUUAUGCCUUGUUUUCAAUAAACUUCCUCGUACCGUCGAGGUUCUUGAAGUUAGUGUAAAUUGAUAUACCCAAAAGAGUGUACCACAUGUAAUGUAUUAUUUGUUCGAAUUGUGUAGUACGAUGUCGAGACCAACUCCACCCAAAAGAGUGUACUACAAAGAAUAUCUUGACUUCUAAAUUGCGAUAUGUUUUAACAUCUUGCAAUUCAAUUUUAAACUCAUCAUAUCCAGUUUAUUUUUCACCUCAAUUUAUAAGAGAGCAAACCAGUGCUUUUUGUUUUAGAAUUUCCUCACCAACUUUUAUGUCUGAGAUCGCACCAAAAGGCAAAAGCCAACCCUCUCAGGUAACAAGAAGAAAUGAAAAACUCAACCGCUUUUACAAAAUCAGCAAACGACGGUUCAAUCGGUAUUCUCCCUUUCAUGUCAGAGCACAAUGAAAUACUCAUCUGCUUUUACAAGAGUUGAGUCACUCGCCCAAUUUCAACUGAUUUUAGGAUGAACCUCAACUUCAACUAUAGGACAAAAACUUCUAUCAUUUAAGACUUUAAGUUGGCAAAUGCGAAGUAUCGAUCGCGAUGAUUAGGUCUUCCAUAUUAACACUUAACUACUGAAAGAGAGAAUUAACACUUAAUAUGAUUUGAAUUGGGCAUGUUCAGUUACCCCAUCAAUUCUCCACAGAGCAGACUACGACAGUCACAAUUCCACGAUACCAUAGUUACAUACAAUACAUGAGUUUUUCGGAGAAUAUAUUUCUCUUGCUACCCAGAAAAUCAACAUGAGUAUACACAAACCAUUCUGUUUUUCUUCCACCUAUAACGGUAUGUAUAUAUGAUCGACUAUAUAUGGCCUUCGUUAGUCAAAAACUAAAAUAGGAGUAACAUGUAGAUUGCAUAUAUGCCUAGACUACUUCAAAGUGAAUUAGAGUCAAUCAAAUCAAAAACAAAAAAUAUGAACCUGUAACAGCAUAAAACAAGAACCCAAAUGAAUAGAAAUCCGGAGUACCAUACUACGUACUGAAAAUAGCAAUCUUGAGCCCACUGCGACAUUUCAUCGAAAACACUGUGUGCACAGAGAUAUACCUGACAAACGCGAACCAAAGGGCGAGUGGAGCGCAUCACAUGUUCACUGAAGGUAGACUUGCCGCUUCCAGGCGCACCCACCAAUAUUACUACGACAGGCUUUCCUUGUUUUUCUUCCACCGUCAAAAGGGCGUCCAGGUUUUAUGAUCACCGAAGGAGACGACGACUGAGAAUGGUAAAACGCGGCGUUUUGGAGAAAGGUCGUACCUUUGGCUGUUUCGUCGAUAUCCAUGUCCAUGUUUCGGAAGACUCUGCGAGGCACUUUUGAAUUAACGGCGGAAAAGCAACGGUUUCUUCUUCCGCUGGGCUGGAAGCCCCAAGCUUCUAUUGCCGGUGCCUGGUGCUUGCAUAAUGGGACACAUGUCACACAUCGUCGACCCGAAAAUUGACAAGAUCCGAUUCGAUUUGGAUUUUAUCCAUACAUUAGCCUCUUCGCAAUCACUCACGUGUAAACAAAAAGUAUUUUCUAAUCACAAUCCUUACGCGCCCUUUAAAGAUGGGUUUGCUUUAAUUAUUUUUCUAAUUGUUUAACAUCGUUAUUUCAUAAGAAAUUUGUGAGGACCUUUCCUUAUCAUGUUAGGCAUCAAAAUUUUCUUAUCCUUUUCUUUUUCAACUGUCUUUCUGUGAUAAUUUUUUCUAUAAUUGUGUUAAGCCCUCUGUAUUCCGGUGACCUACAACAUGUUAAAUUUAUAGAAAUUAUAAACUUGAUAAUUACGUUCAUAGUAAAAAGGCCUAUACAUACAAUAGUGUUUACUUGGUGUAUAAGUAAGGAUCUCUUCAAAUUAUGAAUACAAUCAUAACUAGAUUACAAUAUUAAUUGCUAAACCUUAAGAGAGACGAUUUCCUUGGACAAGACUCAUUCUCUAACAUCCCGGCAAACUGGACGGUCGAGAGGCGACAAGUUUGGAUCAUAGAAGAAGAAUCCAUGGUUUAGAUAGACCUUUUGUCAAGAGAUUUGCAGGUUGAUCCAAGGACUGGAUGAAAUGAACUUUGUGGGUACCAAGCUUAACAUGUUCACUAACAAAAUGAUAAUCUAACUCAAUAUGCUUUGUGCGAGCAUGAAACAGUCGGUUGGCUGCAAUAUACCUAGUACUAAGGUUAUCACAAAAGAGAUAGGUGGGCAAAGAGGCCUGAAACCGAAGUUCAUGAAGUAAGUAAGACACCCAAAGAGAUUCGAUACAGGUGUGAGCAAGAGCACGAUACUUAGACUCCGCACUACAGUAAGAAACAGUAGGACGUUUUGUAGAACUCCAUGAUAUGAGAUUCAAACCUAGAAAUAAAAGAUAGCUAGAUGUCGAUUGACGAAUGUCAGUACAAGCCCAAUUUGCAUCGGAAUAAAAAGUUGUUCAAAAUAUGGUUGCUCCUAUUUUACAGACGAAACUCAAAAAAAUACUAUUCCAUAACCUGUCCUAAAGUAUCCAAUUUACACUCAUAACGCUAGAAUUGAGAAAUUUUCAAAUUUGGAAUAAUUCAAUAGAGCUAGAGCUGAGCACUUAAAGUGCCAAUUAACAAUAAAUUAAAAAUCCCAGAUAAUCACCUAGGAAAAAGUAAAACUAUACUUUAAUAUAAAAUAAGAGAAAAGAAGUGCAAGGAAUGAAAAAGAAUAUGGAGUUAGAGUUACUUUGACACCAUCUACGGAGAAAGGCCAUUCAGAAAUGUAUUCCUUCAGACCUGUCUCCAGAACUAUGACGUCAUACUCUUCAUCCAUGCAAUCCAGCAGAGAAACCGGAUGAAUAUAGCGAGUAUUGUCUUUACAAUCCAGCAGAGAAACCGGAUGAAUAUAGUGAGUAUUGUGUAAAGACGGAUAUAACCUGUAUAAUAUCCAGUAAAGAUAGUUACACUAUGUUUGGAUGAUAGAAAUAAACUUGAAAUUUAAGGAAAAGUCGGAAUUUAUAAAUUGACAUACACCAAUUCCCUUGUUUGGAUUCAUAAACAUAGAAAUUUAGAAUUUUCAUGUGGAAAAAAAACUUGGAAUUUGGGACAUUCAAUUCCCAAGUUUAAAUUCCAUGUAAAUAUGUGUCAUUUUCCAAUUUCUAUGAUUGAGAGUUGAUAGACGCAUAUUUAUGCGACUUAGUUAACUAGUUUUCUUGCAUUUACGUUAUUAGUUCUUAGUUAUUUUAGUACUUUAAGCCAUUUUCGUGUGUUUGUAGGUCCAAAGGGCUAAGGUAGCAAGAAAGUGCAUUUUGGUGCAUUUUGGAGCAGUUUUGAGCUCGGAAUGGAUUACAUAUGAUAUGAGCAAGAUGGAUGGACGAAUUUGAAGACAAAAGAGGCUAAGAACAUGCUAAAAAUCUGGUGAAACAAAUACAAGUUGCAAUAAGGGAUAAAUUUCUAGAAGGAUUGGCCAAAACUUCACUCAAAACACAUCAAUGCCGUGGCUUUUACUUCCACCUCCACCAGAAAUUUGAGUAAUGAUGCAAUGCUUAACUCACCAUGACAUGUGAGUGGAUGAUGCAAUGCUUAGCUCACCAUGACAUGUGAGUGGAUGAUGCAAUGCUUAGCUAACCAUGACAUGUGAGUGGAUGACUCAAUACCUAACCCACCAACAAUUCCCACUCUUUGCCAUGCUCACCUACUCAAUUCCACCAACAUUUUGUGUUAAACAAGUCCAUCCUCUUCCUAUAAAUACCAUGGCAUCAACCUCAUUCAAAUCAUCCAGAAAUUAACCAUUCUCCAAGCCUUUCCUUGCCUCUCCUACAUAUCUAAACCCCUUCCCAUCCAUUCCUCCAAAUAACCAACCCUUCAACAUCAUUCCAACCUUGUUGUUGCGGCAAAGAGAAGGAGAAAAGUCCUUAGACGCACUUGCUAUCCAACAUGGAUCGUUGGAACGUUUAGGUGCUUUCUUUCCUUUGUUUUUCAAUGUUUAAAUUUGUUUAUCUUUGUUUUGUAAUAAUGAGGAACUAAACCCCCCUUGGCUAGGGGGGAUUCGAAACCAUGUUAAUGCUUGCAAUAUGAUUUGAUUACUUUUAAUUGCGUUUCAUAAGUUAUGAAUUCGAUUUACUUAUCUAUUUGAUUGAUAACAUGUUUAUGUAUGUUGAUUAGGGAUGCAUACUUAGUUUGCAUGCAUAAAUAUGAUGCUAGAGUAUAAGGGAAUUUCACCUAAUCGUUAUGAACUUAUAUUCAUGAGUAGUAAAAGUCGCUAGUCACGAUUGUGUUAAGUAAAUCCUUGGCAUAAGUUUCAUGCAAAUCAUAGUAACGAGUGCCUCGUCAAUGCUUAUGUUUUUCAUAGAACUUAAUGAUUCUUGCUUGUAUCUCUAUUAUGCAAUUCAUGUAGGGAACUUGUAGGGAAUAUUUUGGGUUGUCGUAUGCAAUCAUCCAACCCAAUAACUUGUGGAAAAACUGAGGGUAAAUUAGUGCAAUUCACGGUUAAUUUGGGGCGUUGAGAAUUAAUAAGUUAUUGAAAUGCAAUUGGAAAUCAUUUUGUAUGCAAGCAAGACAUGUGUGGAGAAGAACCCCUUAGCUAGCCUUCCAUUAUCCAUUCAACCCAAAUUUGUUUAAAAUCUAUUUAAGUUUUUAGUUUAUUCGUUUUUACUUUCAACUUCACCAAACUCAAAUCCCCCUUUUACUUUCUUGUUUUAAAAUCUUUUGUUUACAUUUUUAACUUUGUUUUUAUGUUUUUAAAUUAGUUUUCAAGUGAUUUAGCAAUCCCUCCUAAUCCCCGGUUUAGAACGAUCCCUACUUACAUCUAUACUACAAUUGUCAAAAAGAGGGUUAAAUUUGUGUGCUUAUAUUAUUCGCAUCAAAUUUUUGGCGCCGUUGCCGGGGAUUAGCAACUUUGCUAAUCCCUUGGUUCUUUUCUUUUUGUUUAGUUUGUUUUUGUUUUAGUUUCUGACUUAGUUUUGUUUUCCUUGUUUUGUGUUACUUUUGAUAUUUGAGUUAUUUUUCUUUCUUUGAUUUUAGGUACAAAUGGAGCAAGACAUGGCACUUGCGACCAUUCAAGCUCAAUUGGCACAGCUCACUGCUCAAUUGACUCAUAAUGCCGAACGGACCACAAUGCCAAGUGUCCCUACAUUGAUGUGCCCUAUGGGCAAGGAUAUCAACAUCCUCAAUUCACUGUGAACGAAGAUGCUUGGGGUUAUCAAGGCUAUGAUCAACCAAGCAACAACAUGUUUUCCAACGCUUACAAUUCGGCUUGGAGAGAUCAUUCAAAUUAUAUGUGGGGGAAACCUCAACAAUUCCAACAAGAGGGAUAUUGGCAGCAAGAGGAGGAGUUCUAUUCAAAACCUAUGCAAUAUGCUUAAUCAAACUCAGGUUCGUCAAUAAAUUAUAAUCAAAUUCUUAAUGAAUUAAAUUGUUUGGUGCAGGGCUCACAAAAUCAAGCCAAGGAGGCUCAACAAGAUGCAUAUUGGCAGCCAUAUGAGGAGUUCUACACCACACCUAUACAGCCACCACUGCAUACCCCACAACAAUUCCAAUCAAAUUCAAGUAUGUCCAUGGAUAGUGAUCAAAUUCUUCAAGUACUAACCUCUUUGACGCAGGACCAACAAAAUCAAGACAAGAAGUUGGAUAAAUUGAAGAGUCAAAUGGGAGAGAUUAUGGAAUUCAUGGUACAAAUUCAAGAGCAAAGUGAACUCUCCAACUCAACUGUUGAAAAUUCGAAGGAAGAUUUUGAAAUCCACGAUGCUAUCACUUUGGGAAGUGCUAUGAAGGAUGAAGCUGUCCCAGAACCAUCCAAACACAGCCCGAACAUGGAUGAAUUGCUGCUGCAAGCAGAAGAGGAGGAGGACGACCUGGGCAGUUUAGAAGAAUUCUUGCUGCAAGCUCCUCAAAUCCCUAUAUCAUCCAACUCAGGUGAGGAAGUUUUAAAUCCACUUCAUUCUAACAUUAUUCCACCAAAUGUCCUUUUUCCUUGUAGGUUUUUUAUUCCAAAUAUCAAAGAGAGUGAAAAAGACAUUGUGGAAGCUCUUCCAAAGGUGCAAAGUGAUAUCCCAAUUCUUGGUGCACCAAAACAAGUUCCCGAUGGUAUUGAAACGUUCAAAGAACCUUGCACACCAAGAAAAGGGAUUCAAGAGAAUGAAGUGGUUGAAGCAUAUCAAGAAUACAUCCAAGAGGCUGUGCAUGAGACAAUCAAGCCCAAAGCAGUUGAGUUUGAUGACACGGGACAAGCCACAACCAUCAUAGUAAACCUGGCCAAGUUCAAAAUCCCAGAAAUGUUCAAAGAUGUGGUGUUUGUCAUUGAGUUUGUGUCGGAAAAAGAAAGUAAGCCAUCUUCUCCAAUUUUAAUUUUUAUUUAUACUAACAUUUUUCUGAUUUUGAUGAUUCAGGCACCCACUCUUGAAUUUAAACCAUUGCCGAAUCAUUUCAAGUAUCACCUCCCAUUAAAAGAUAAAUUCCAUGCUUUGGAGCCGAGGGGAGUUUAAAGGAAAGAUUCGUCCGGCUAAAGACGUUAAAUCAAGCGCUUCUUGGGAGGCAACCCAAGCAUUCAACGAAGGGAGACUUUUGGAAUCGCUAACCAAAAUCAGAUUUGAAUUCUUACACCCUUAUCUUUACUGCUUUCAUUUUGUUUUGUUUAGUUAGUUGUGUUAUUUGGUUAAUUUCUGUAAGUUUGUGUUAUUUAGUUUAAGUGUGGGGGAAGGUUAACCAAAGUCUUUCUACAUUAAUUUACAUAUAAUUUAAAAACAACAAAAAAAAAAAAAAAAAAAAAAAAAACAUAAGUAAAAAUAUUUUACAAUGAUGUGUAAACUAAUAGCAUUCAUUGGUCAGGUGGUGCUUCAGUAGUCGGCGGAGCUUCAGCAGUCGGCGGGGCCACAGAAGGAGGAGGCAACAGAGGUUGAUCAGUUGGAGCUUCACUACGCGAUGCCGCUCCAGAAGACGAAGGCAGAUGCUGUUGGAACAAACCCACAAACCUCCGAUGAUCAAGUAAAAUCUGACCAUCAGAUUCAUGUAUCUGGUCAAUUUUCCUCUUCAUGGUUGUGGCAUAGUUGUGUGCAAGCUUAUGCAAUUGUUUAUUUUCAUGCUUGAGUCCUUUAAUCUCCUCUUUGAGACUCUGUAUUUCAGCCACCAACGAUUCAACGUGACGGGUUCGGGCAAAUAGGCGUUGGGCCAUGUUGGACACGGAACCGGCACACUGCACGCUAAGAGCCAGAGACUCCUUAACCGCCAAUUCAUCAGACCGUCUAGCGAGCAGUUUGUUAUCUCUGGGGUGACAAGGUUCCGGGCCACCACCGCAGCGGUCAUGUCAUUUUUCAUCACCGAAUCCCCCACGGUAAGGGGACCGGUAGGGGAUAUGAAGGAUGGGCGCCAUAUGUUGUCUGGUGAAGGCGGAGCUGCCUCUUCACCAAUGUUCAAGUCAAAACGACGAUCGGAAGGGCCAGACAUUUUCUGAAGGUGUGAGAAAGAAGAGAUCGGACAGAUUAAGAUUUCGGAAGUGCAAGAAGGGAGUGUUUACAGGAGGGAGCUCAAGUGUGUUGUGGAACAAAAUUAGCGCCUCUAUAAAAAGAAGAAAUCAAAGAGGCGCUCCUCAGAAAUUGAAAAGGCGUCCUCUCGCAAAUCGAAGAGUCGGGGCUCCGUUCUCAAACGCCUGAUUCUUUUCUCAAAAGAGGAGUUUCCUUUCUCAAAAGCCGGAUUCUUUUCUCAAAAGAGGCGUUUCAUUUCUUAAAGGCUGGGCUUGCUCAGAAACCACGAGCCGAACCCCGGAUUUCAAAAGAUCAAUUUGUCCAGACGUGUCGUCACUUGUCACACGCAAAUUGCUUUGCGAAAAUCUCGGGCAGUUUGUCGAAGCACCAAUUCAGAAAUCGAAGAGGGAAAUUCAACAGUCAAAGACACGCUAGCUUUCUCAAAAGCUGGGCUUCAACCCACGGGCAAAUCUUCUUUUCCAGAUUUAUCCGCACGUGUCACAUGCUACCUCUACAAUCGACGAUGCUCAAAGCUCGAAGCGCCGAUUCCAGAUAUCAAUGAGGAAUCUGCUUUGCGGAAAUUACGGGCAGCUUUGUCAGAAAGCGCGUAAUUUGUACUAUUCAUCCAUCCACCGGCUGCCGACAAUGAGUGAGGGAAUAGUUCCGGUUGUGAAGAAAAGUCCCAUAAGUAUCUACCUUCGCCUUCCACAGCAAAGGCACACCCUCUCAGCACUUCUUCCUCUCUGAAAUGGCUUUCCAACAAACCCUCUCAAGUCACUCUGUAUUUUUCAUCCCCUGGGAUACCCCUGCAAACAACCCAUCCAAAGCAAAAGUAUUUCAUAUCAUGAAGGUUGAAAGCAAGAGUAUCUCAUAUCAUGCUUUCUCCCUGUCCUUUCUCCAGCCAGCACUUGCUCUCGAGUACUCAUCAUCUUAUGUUUCCUCUUCGUCUCUCACGUAUAAGGGAAGUGAAGAUGAUACCUCGAAGCAUGUGGAGACAACGUGCUGAUUCAUCCUCAGCUAGGGACAAGGAGAAAGAGAGCAAGAGGUGGGCACUUGGAAAGAUGAAGAAAGAAACAGACCAAUACCUCUACCUCGUGCCUGCCCGCCAUGCAGAGGAAACAAGCAGAGAAGAAUGCAGCUCGUACAAUCAUCCCAGCAGAAGGAGUCCGAGCUGAAGAACUAGAGAAGCUGCCACAUCUGCUUGGAGAACAAAUAAGGAACUGCAACAUCACCAAAGAGCAAAGCUUCGCCGUACAAUAUCAUCAAAUCAUCACUUGCAAGUAAAAAGCUAAGUGUCACCCUGUUCAAGAGGAAAGCUGUGGAAAGUCAACAAGCACGACCAAUGAUCACUUAUUAGUUCUAUUCAUUGUCUUUUAUCGUGAUUUUCAAUUUUUCGUUUGCAAUUUUUUUUAUAUUUUCUUGUGUUACUAAACUGAAUUAUUUCUUUUCUUUGCAGGAACUUUUGGUUAUUUCCACCCUUGAAGUUGAUUGCAGAAUUUUAGCUUGGGGGUCAUCGCUUGGUUUUAUUGCAAACUAGGGAAGUUUUCAGUCCAAUUGCUUUAUUUUGUUUCUUAUUAUUUAUUUAUUUUAUUUUUAUUUGCAUUAUAGUGUUUUCUGACAUUGGGGUAUAGAUUUCAUGGGUCCUUUCCCUCCAUCUUUUGGUUUCACUUAUAUCUUGCUAGCUGUUGAUUAUGUUUCCAAAUGGGUGGAAGCCAAAGCCACCCGGACUAACGAUUCAAAGGUUGUUGCAGAUUUUGUGAAAACUAAUAUCUUUGCUAGGUUUGGCAUGCCUAGAGUUCUCAUUAGUGAUGGAGGCAACCCAUGGAAAUAAAGAAGACCUAGGAAUUUCCGACUCCAAAACCAGGUGUUUGCGUUCUUUAACCCUCCUCUCUGUUGCUUUUACUUUGCCAUGUUUAUCAUGUUUCCUCGUUGUUUGUUUGUUUGCUUUUGUGUGAGUUUAUGUUUGAAACAUUGAGGACAAUGUUAGAUUUAAGUGUGGGGGGGUAAACAAGUUGCUGUUGCAUGAUUUUCGUGGGAUUUUAUUCACCUAUCACUUACAAUGUUGUUUCUUGCUGUUUUAAGUGUUUUUAGUGUGUUUUUAAGCAUGUUAGUAUGUUUUGACAUAAAAAUCCGAAAAUUUGACAAAAAUUUGAAAAAAAAAUUGUUUUGAAAAAGCCAAAAAGAGUUGUUUUUGUGUGUUUGUUUGUGUCUUAGGGUACCUUCCAACACAAAUAAUGAGGAUUUGGUUUUUAAUUGCAUGACUGCUAAAGAAAGUUAUAAACAUGGAUGGAAAGUUUGAUAUGCUCUUUGAUUUAUGCUUGGUUAUAGUUAUAGUUUACGAAUUCACAUGUAAUCACAAAGAAAAAAAAUCAGUUUUUGUAACAUGCUUGAAGGAAGGAACUCAAACUAACACUACAACCUUGAGAGACUUGAGCCUAAUACGUUCUUUGGAGAGUUACUAAUCUGUGCAUUUUUGUUUUCUAAAGUCGUUGCAUGAUCUCAUCAUUCUUUGCUUGGUUGCUACUUAGAAGGCGUUUCAUCAUUUAGUUCCAAAUACUAGAACUUAUGCCCGUUCCAUUCAAAGCAUGACAUUGAUUUGCAUAACACAUAUUCAAGAUGAAGUUGUGUAGUGAACUAGAGCCAAAAAGCUUAUCCGUGCAUAUUUUUGUUUAAGUUUAACCCCGUUGAGCCUUGUUUAGCCUGUUUUCUUUGUUAAACCCACAUUUCCCUUACCUAGCCUAGAUUAGGACUAUCCAUACCCUUGUUUUUUUAAAGCAUAGUGAAGCAUGACUUAAAAUGAAUUCCUUUUGAUUGUCCUUAUGCAGAAACAAGUGUGGGGGAAUGAGAUUUUUUGUGUUUGUGUGCCAAAAGAAAGUAAUAAGGCACGGGUUAGAAAAAGAAAAAGAAAAAAAAAAAAAAAAAGAAAAGAAAAAAGAGUUUGAAAUAAGUGAGGAAAGGCUCACAAGUGUUUGUUUGUAGUUGAAAUCGGCCCUAAAAAGUUGAAUGAAUAACCCCAUUGUGUUUAAAGUUAGUUGCUGCAUUCAAAGGAAUUCUAAGCAUCAAUUUCAUUACUUUGCUUAUUAUGCUUUAAAAACGUUUGUUUCCUUACCUUUCAUUGUUAGCCAAUCACCCCUAACCCCGUUACAACCCUUAACUUCAAUCUUGAGUGUUAUGUGUUUCAAUAUGUGGAGUUUGGGAUUGGUACGAGCAUAUGGUGUCCCUGGUUCUCGCAUCUAAGUAGUAGCAUUCCAGUCAUGAGAUCAUAUCUAUACAUGCUUAAUAACUCCAGAAAUUGCUUUCUUUGCUAUAAACAUAUGUGAGUGUUCGUUUUCAUGUUUACAUCAAUCUUCUCACAUACAUCUAUAGUGUAGGGUAAAUAGUCAGAAAAAUCAGAGUGAAAAUAAGAGUGUAUCUUGUAAGGAAUUGAGCAAAUUCUCUAAGGCAUGUUACUACAUUCAAAACAUCGUUUUAAUUGGUUAUAUGUGAACUAGUAUGUGGUGACUUUGAUUAAGUAUGUGCUCAAGGGUAGGGAAGGCAAAAAUCUGUGGUUAUGAUGAUCUUUUGCAUGUCAUGUUGCAUUGAAAAUCCCUAAGGUAAUUGUUGGAAGGUUUAGGUUUUGUUUUGUUCUUAUGUUUUGUUUCUUUGUUUUGCUCGAGGACUAGCAAAAGCUAAGUGUGGGGGAAUUUGAUAGACGCAUAUUUAUGCGACUUAGUUAACUAGUUUUCUUGCAUUUACGUUAUUAGUUCUUAGUUAUUUUAGUACUUUAAGCCAUUUUCGUGUGUUUGUAGGUCCAAAGGGCUAAGGUAGCAAGAAAGUGCAUUUUGGUGCAUUUUGGAGCAGUUUUGAGCUUGGAAUGGAUUACAUAUGAUAUGAGCAAGAUGGAUGGACGAAUUUGAAGACAAAAGAGGCUAAGAACAUGCUAAAAAUCUGGUGAAACAAAUACAAGUUGCAAGAAGGGAUAAAUUUCUAGAAGGAUUGGCCAAAACUUCACUCAAAACACAUCAAUGUUGUGGCUUUUACUUCCACCUCCACCAGAAAUUUGAGUAAUGAUGCAAUGCUUAACUCACCAUGACAUGUGAGUGGAUGAUGCAAUGCUUAGCUCACCAUGACAUGUGAGUGGAUGAUGCAAUGCUUAGCUAACCAUGACAUGUGAGUGGAUGACUCAAUACCUAACCCACCAACAAUUCCCACUCUUUGCCAUGCUCACCUACUCAAUUCCACCAACAUUUUUGUGUUAAACAAGUCCAUCCUCUUCCUAUAAAUACCAUGGCAUCAACCUCAUUCAAAUCAUCCAGAAAUUAACCAUUCUCCAAGCCUUUCCUUGCCUCUCCUACAUAUCUAAACCCCUUCCCAUCCAUUCCUCCAAAAUAACCAACCCUUCAACAUCAUUCCAACCUUGUUGUUGCGGCAAAGAGAAGGAGAAAAGUCCUUAGACGCACUUGCUAUCCAACAUAGAUCGUUGGAACGUUUAGGUGCUUUCUUUCCUUUGUUUUUCAAUGUUUAAAAUUUGUUUAUCUUUGUUUUGUAAUAAUGAGGAACUAAACCCCCCUUGGCUAGGGGGGAUUCGAAAACCAUGUUAAUGCUUGCAAUAUGAUUUGAUUACUUUUAAUUGCGUUUCAUAAGUUAUGAAUUCGAUUUACUUAUCUAUUUGAUUGAUAACAUGUUUAUGUAUGUUGAUUAGGGAUGCAUACUUAGUUUGCAUGCAUAAAUAUGAUGCUAGAGUAUAAGGGAAUUUCACCUAAUCGUUAUGAACUUAUAUUCAUGAGUAGUAAAAGUCGCUAGUCACGAUUGUGUUAAGUAAAUCCUUGGCAUAAGUUUCAUGCAAAUCAUAGUAACGAGUGCCUCGUCAAUGCUUAUGUUUUUCAUAGAACUUAAUGAUUCUUGCUUGUAUCUCUAUUAUGCAAUUCAUGUAGGGAACUUGUAGGGAAUAUUUUGGGUUGUCGUAUGCAAUCAUCCAACCCAAUAACUUGUGGAAAAACUGAGGGUAAAUUAGUGCAAUUCACGGUUAAUUUGGGGCGUUGAGAAUUAAUAAGUUAUUGAAAUGCAAUUGGAAAUCAUUUUGUAUGCAAGCAAGACAUGUGUGGAGAAGAACCCCUUAGCUAGCCUUCCAUUAUCCAUUCAACCCAAAUUUGUUUAAAAUCUAUUUAAGUUUUUAGUUUAUUCGUUUUUACUUUCAACUUCACCAAACUCAAAUCCCCCUUUUACUUUCUUGUUUUAAAAUCUUUUGUUUACAUUUUUAACUUUGUUUUUAUGUUUUUAAAUUAGUUUUCAAGUGAUUUAGCAAUCCCUCCUAAUCCCCGGUUUAGAACGAUCCCUACUUACAUCUAUACUACAAUUGUCAAAAAGAGGGUUAAAUUUGUGUGCUUAUAUUAUUCGCAUCCAGAGUUUAAAAAUACAAAUUCCAUAUUGAAUUUCAUUGUUCUUUUAGGUUAACCAAACAAGAAAAUUUACAAAUUCUAAAAAAUAAAAUCUCGUCCCUUCAAUUUCUGUCAUUUUAAAAUUCCUUGGUAAUCUUAAACUUCUUCAUCCAAACAUAGUGUUAGUUUGGUACAAAUUUAUGGAAGCCAAAUCUACCAAGUUUGAGAUCCGGACCGUUGAAAUUUGAUCCAAUGUCUAUAGUUGUUAUAACUUUCAUUAGUUUUCCUUAAAUAAUUUUACAUUAAGAUCAUUUCAAAGUGAGUGGCUAACCCUAAAAGGUUCAGUUGAACCUUGUCAAACACAUAGAUACAUACAAGGUAACCUGUAACAUCUUUGGUUCGGCUAACUUUUGUUUUUUAUUUUUUAUUGUUGAAGUCAGUUGAAGUUAUCACAUGUUCGUCUACGGCUUGUGUCCACCAAAAAAAAAAAAAAAAAACCCACGCAAAUUCCCAAAUUCCAAUUCCAAACCAAACAAUUGUACAAAAAAUUGGCCGAUGUAAUUCGGUAUGUACCAGAUAACGGUAAUAAAUAUAUAUACAGAGAGCUUAAGGGGAGGGAUCCCCAUUUUUUGAAAAAAAUGGGGAUUAGGUGUGGGGCCCACUUCACAUUAAAUUUCAACGAUCCGAACCGUCUAUUUUGUUAGUCUCGAUUCAUAGAUCAUCCUGCAAAAUAUUAGCUAAAUUGGAAAUGUUUAAGACAUCUAAUUGGGUUCAAGGAAAUGAACGAAUACUUUGUUAUAUAAGAAAAUAUGAAAUUUGAUAUUGAUAAUUAAAUAGGCAAAUGGUUUCGGAUUGAAUUGAAUUUUUGCAAGGAUGAUCUAUGAAUCGAGACUAACAAAAUAGACGGUUCGGAUCGUUGAAAUUUGAUGUGAAGUGGGCCCCAUACCUAAUCCCCAUUUUUUGGGAUCCCUCCCCUUAAGCUCUCUAUGUAUAUAUAUAUAUAUAUAUAUAUAUAUAUAUAUAUCUAUGACAACUACAUUAACACAUACAAUCCAUCAUUCUCAUCAAACAAAAAACUGAAGCAAAAAACCAUCAGCCUUUUAAGAAAAUUAACCUACAAUUUCCACCCCCACCCACCCCAAAAAAACUGCAAUAACAAAAUUACCCCUACAAUUUUCACUCCUGUCCGUCCGAUUUGGAAUUUAGACAUGCAAAAAAGUAAUUUUGCUUGCAGGUCUUUAGGCCUCCGAAUGGGCCAUUUCAGCUACACCCUAAUCCAAGCCGAAGGCCACAUUGGGCAUAAAAUCAGCAAUCCAAAACAGAACGAUGGCAGUACCGUAGUUAAUUGAUCGAGGCCCCAUUCCAUAUGCAACAUGAAUGUAUACGACUCUGCAAGAAACAAUGUGUUGUUAAAUGUGGUCAGUCCUCGCCUUUUUUAUGAACACAAGAAACAGUAAUGAAUUACGAUGGCAGUACCGUAGUUAAUUGAUCGAGGCCACAUUUGAGAUCCAACAAAUAAGAAGUUUGCUUUUUGGUUUUACCUUUUAAAUUUGUGUAUGUUCUAGUUGUAUUUGUAAAAGUUUAUUGUGUAUCUUCUGAAUUACGAAAAUCUUGACUUCUGAAUUACGAUAUGUUUUAUCAUCUGGCCAUUCAAUUUUAAACUCAUCAUAUCCAGUACCACAACACCUAAUGAUUUAUUUUUCACCUCAAUUUAUAAGAGAGCAAACCAGCGUUUUUUGUUUCAGAAUUUCCUCACCAACUUUUAUGUCUGAGAUCGCACCAAAAGGCAAAAGCCAACCCUCUCAGGUAACAAGAAGAAAUGAAAAACUCAACCGCUUUUACAAAAUCAGCAAACUACGGUUCAAUCAAUAUUCUCACUUUCAUGUCAGAGCACAAUGAAAUACUCAUCUGCUUUUACAAGAGUUGAGUCACUCGCCCAAUUUCAACUGGUUUUAGGAUGAACCUCAACUACAAUUAUAGGACAAAAACUUCUAUCAUUUAAGACUUUAAAUUGACAAAUACGAAGUAUCGAUCGUGAUGAUUAGGUCUUCCAUAUUAACACUUAACUACUAAAAGAGAGGAUUAACACUUAAUAGGAAUUGAAUUGGGCGUGUUCAGUUACCCCAAUAAAUUCUCCACAGAGCAGACUAAAAUAGGAGUAACAUGUAGCUUGCAGAUAUGCCUAGACUACUUCAAAGUGAAUUAGAGUCGAUCUAAUCAUAAACCUGAGUAAUGCACUGAAAAUUUCUGGUUUGGAAUCUCUGACGCUCAGAGAAUAAGCAAAAUGCAUGCAACAAAGCCUCCAUUGUUAAACCUGAAAAAACAACAGUAUGUCAAGUUAUUCUUUUCAUUGGAAUCCUUGGUAAACAUAAUUCUUUCAAAAAGAUUGGACGCAAAUGCCAAUAUCUUACAGAUUUGUAAUGUCAUAUUGUGAACUAGCACCCAACAAAAUAUUUACAUGUAUAUUGCGUAGUAUUUCCAAAUGCUUACCAAUUGGUAGCAUUAGCUAUUAGAUUGCAGUGUAAACCUCCUUCUGAAUGAACGAAGCCGAGUGAUAUCUCCCACAAAUGUGAAGAACUUGUUGGAAUCAAUGCUUUUCUCUGAAGCUUUAGCCCUUACCAAAGACAAAAUCUUCGAUUAAUGACUCAAGUCCACUUAAAACAAGUCUAGAAUUUCCAAGCUUAUUCCUAAAUUCUAUAACUUUCUCAACAAUAAUAUCAGAUGCCUUUGCAAGGUCAAAUUGAAAAUCUGCUGUUGAAACGGAAGGAAAUGCCAGAGCGGAAGCAUCAUUUAGAGAACCAUCACCGCCAACAGAGCCUACAACUAGCUCUUCACCUACCUUUGAUUCCUUACCAGAUUUUUCAGAAAGUAAACGUGUUCCUUUCAAAGAGGUUUCCUUUUCUUCAGUAAUUUGAGAAGCAUUAGAAUCCGGUACACUCUUCAAAGUUGAUUCAGUAUUGGCAGGACCAUCUGUUUUCUUUAAGAACUUCUUUAUACCUAGUUGAAUUUUUGCACCGGGGUUCUUCCGACCAGAAUAACCAUUGGGAGAUGUAUAUAACGGACCAAGUCCACUAUAUGCAUCAACGGAAGAUUGAACAUCACUCUCACUCUGGCAACAAGUAAUUCUAGCAAACCCUUCACUCUUCUUUCUUCUGCAGCAUUCUAUUCACAAUCGCCACAGCUUUCCUGCCUUGCACGUUUCCUUCAUGGCUCGUUAGAUUCUUUAGUGUGACCAGUACACGGGAUGAUACACCACAUGUCACUAAACAAAUGGUGAGAUAUGUGUGCUACAAAGUUAAAAAUUUAAAAAAAAAAAUUCUCACCAUUCCUAUUAAAACAUGUGGUGUAUCACUUGUGUUCCCGUCACAACUAAAAAUUUCUCGUAAUAUACAAAGCUUGGCAGGAAGAUCAAGCACCACAGCAUGAACAUCAACUUGGGAACUACCACCAAGCUUCACAAAAUCAUCCCAUUUUUUCUUUCUCCACAUUACACCUAUCUAUAAACACACACUACCCAUCCUUCAACGCAUUCAUUGCACUAUCUAUACACUGCCCUUUCGUUCCGGCUUUACCAUUUUUGAUAGUAUCCUACAAAAACAUAAAAUAUGAACAUAUAACAGCAUAAAACAAGAACCCAAAUGAAUAGAAAUCCGGAGUACCAUACUACGUACUGAAAAUGGCAAUCUUGAGCCCACUGCGACAUUUCAUCGAACACACUGUGUGCACAGAGAUAUACCUGGCAAAUGCGAACCAAAGGGCGAGUGGAGCGCAUCACAUGUUCGCAGAAGGUAGACUUGCCGCUUCCAGGCGCACCCACCAAUAUUACUACGACAGGCUUUCCUUGUUUUUCUUCCCCCGUCAGAAGGGCGUACAGGUUUUAUGAUCACCGAAGGAGAUGACGACUGAGAAUGGUAAAACGCGGCGUUUUGGAGAAAGGGCAUACCUUUGGCUGUUUCGUCGAUAUCCAUGUCCAUGUUUCGGAAGACUCUGCGAGGUACUUUUGAAUUAACGGCGAAAAAGCAACGGUUUCUUCGUCCGCUGGGCUGGAAGCCCGAAGCUUCUAUUGCCGGUGCCUGGUGCUUGCGUAAUGGGACACAUGUCCACAUCGUCGACCCGAAAAUUGACAAAAUCCGAUUCGAUUUGGAUUUUAUCCAUAUAUUAACCUCUUCGCAAACACCCACGUGUAAACAAAAAGUAUUUUCUAAUCACAAUCCUUACGCGCCCGUUAAAGAUGGGUUUGCUUUAAUUAUUUUUCUAAUUGUUUAACAUCGUUAUUUCAUAAGAAAUUUGUGAGGACCUUUCCUUAUCAUGUUAGGCAUCAAAAUUUUCUUAUCCUUUUCUUUUUCAACUGUCUUUUUGUGAUAAUUUUUUCUAUAAUUGUGUUAAGCCUUCUGUAUUCCGGUAACCUACAACAUGUUAAAUCUAUAGAAAUUAUAAACUUGAUAAUUACGUUCAUAGCAAAAAGGCCUAUACAUACAAUCGUGUUUACUUGAUGUAUAAGUAAGGAUCUCUUCAAAUUAUGAAUACAGUCAUAACUAGAUUACAAUAUUAAUUGCUAACCCUUAAGAGAGACGAUUUCCUUGGACAAAACUCAUUCUCUUAAUAUAAAAUAAAAGAAAAAAAGUGCAAGGAAUGAAAAAGAAUAUGGAGUUAGAGUUACUUUGACACCAUCUACAGAGAGUGCAAGGCCAUUCAGAAAUGUAUUCCUUCAGACCUGUCUCCAGAACUAUGACGUCAUACUCUUCAUCCAUGCAAUCCAGCAGAGAAACCGGAUGAAUAUAGCGAGUAUUGUGUAAAGAUGGAUAUAACCUGUAUAAUAUCCAGUAAAGAUAGUUACACUGUGUUUGGAUGAUAGAAAUAAACUUGAAAUUUAAGGAAAAGUCGGAAUUUAUAAAUUGACAUACACCAAUUCCCUUGUUUGGAUUCAUAAACAUAGAAAUUUAGAAUUUUCAUGUGGAAAAAAAACUUGGAUUUUGGGACCUUCAAUUCCUAAGUUUAAAUUCCAUGUAAAUACGUGUCAUUUCCCAAUUUCUAUGAUUGAGAGUUUAAAAAUAACAAAUUCCGUAUUGAAUUUCAUUGUUCUUUUAGGUUAACCAAAUAAGAGAAUUUACAAAUUCUAAAAAAUAAAAUCCCGUCAUUUUAAUUUCUGUCAUUUUAAAAUUUCUUAGUAAUCUUAAACUUCUUCAUCCAAACAUAGUGUUAGUUUGGUACAAAUUUAUGGAAAGCCAAAUCUACCAAGUUCGAGAUCCGGACCGUUGAAAUUUGAUCCAAUGUCUACAGUUAUUAUAACUUUCGUUAGUUUUCCUUAAAUAAUUUUGCAUUAAGAUCAUUUCAAAGUGAGUUGCUAACCCUAAAAGGUUCAGUUGAACCUUGUCAAACACAUAGAUACAUACAAGGUAACCUGUAACAUCUUUGGUUCGGCUAACUUUUGUUUUUUAAUUUUGUUUUUUUUUUUUUUUUUUGUUGAAGUCAGUUGAAGUUAUCACAUGUUCGUCUACGGCUUGUGUCCACAAACAAAAAAAAAAAAAAAAAACCCACACAAAUUCCCAAAUUCCAAUUCCAAACCAAACAAUUGCACAAAAAAUUGGCCAAUGUAAUUCGGUAUGUACCAGAUAACGGUAAUAUAUAUCUAUGACAACUACAUUAACAUAUACAUUCCAUCAUUCUCAUCAAACAAAAAACUGAAGCAAAAAACCAUAAGCCUUUUAAGAAAAUUAACCUACAAUUUCCACCCACCCCAAAAAAACUGCAAUAACAAAAUUACCCCUACAAUUUUCACUCCUGUCCGUCGGAUUUGGAAUUUAGACAUGCAAAAAAGUAAUUUUGCUUGCAGGCCUUUAGGCCUUUGAAUGGGCCAUUUCAGCUACACCCUAAUCCAAGCCGAAGGCCACAUUGGGCAUAAAAUCAACAAUCCAAAACAGAACGAUGGCAGUACCGUAGUUAAUUGAUCGAGGCCCCAUUCCAUAUGCAACAUGAAUGUAUACGACUCUGCAAGAAACAAUGUGUUGUUAAAUGCUCAGUGCACCAAAAGCCACUACCUAACAAUCUUCAUAUAUUUCAUAACAACCUCCUUCUGAUACAAGCUGGCUAUUUGUAGUCGGUUCUCUACUAACCACCUAACUAACCAACUACUUACACAAGUAUCAAUCAAAAGAUGACACCUGUCCGAGCAUCCUAACAAUACCCCCCCUUAAAACUGAUCUUACAGAUCACAUACGAAAUUCUGCAGAAAAUUUACAACACAAAACUCAAACAAUUUGCACACACAGAGAAAUACAACACAAAUUCAAAGAUCAACAAUUUUCGGGAAACUUGAUCUUCAAUUCAUAGUAAUUCUCCCAAGUAGCAUCCUCUGUGGAGUGAUUCUGCCAUUGCACCAGAACUUCGGUCACUGCAGAGUUGCCUUUCUUUACCAUUCUUCUAUCACAAAUCCGAAUGGGAACAUCUUGCAAUAUACCAGCAUCCGUAAUACCUGGCAACGGCACUGUGGUUUGCACAUCUUCUCCCAAAUGCUUUUUUAAACAGGACACAUGGAACACCGGAUGCAACUUAGAGUGAUCUGGAAGUUUGAUCUUAUAAACUACAUUGCCGAUUUGAGCUAAAACUUGGAAUGGCCCAUAGAAACGAGGUUGAAGCUUGUGAAAAGGAUGUGCUGCCAAGGAACUAAAGGGAAAAUACAACGUUGUAAUUAUAUUACAGGACCAUUACUCAAUGUUGGUAAUUUGCUAGGCAAUUUAAUAAUACAUUGUGUUUGGAAGACAGCCAAACUACAGGAAAGUGAUCUCCAAUAUUAUUUUAUAUAUUUUUAUAUAUAUAAUUUUUUUUAAUAAAUAAUAUUAUCUAAACUAAUAAAUUAAUAAUAACAUGGUUCAAAUUGAUAAAAAAUAAUCUUGAGAUCCUGAAUAUUUCUCAUUGAGAGUGGCUAUUAUGGGAAAAUUCCCAUUGAGAUUUCACGCUUGACAAGGUUGGUUGUCCUAGAUAUAUCUCUAUCUGAAUAUCCGAGGGACACCACCCUUGAGAGCCCGAACUUAAGCAUGCUCUUUCUGAACCUCACAGAGAUUUGUGAGCUCUAUCUUGAUGGGAUAAAUAUAUCAGCACAGGGAACUCAGUGGUGCCAAGCAUUAUCAUCUUCACUCCUACACCUGAGGGUGUUGAGCAUGUCUGGAAGCCAGCUCUCAGGUCCUUUUUGUCAGUCCUUCGCAAAACUUCAGUCUCUCUCGGUGAUUCAAUUGGAUAAUAAUGACAUCUCCGGUCCAAUUCCAGGAUUCUUCGCCAAGUUUACAAAUCUGACAGUGUUGAGCUUGAAUAAUAACAACAUUGCUGCUAUGGUUCCAAGAUUGUUUGCCAACUUUUCAAAGUUGACUGCUUUGAGUCUUCAAAAUUGCAAUCUUAAUGGAACAUUACCCAAAGAGAUCUUCCAGGUACCUACUUUACAAACUGUUGACCUUUCGCAUAAUCUACAGCUUCAUGGUUCCCUGCCUGAAUUUCCUGAGAAUGCAUCUCUUCAAUUUUUGGACCUAAGCUUCACAAAAGUUUCAGGGUUAUUGCCGGACUCUAUCGGCAACCUCAAAAUGUUGUCCUUUUUAAAUCUUUUCAAUUGCAGUUUCAGUGGAUCAAUCCCAAAGUCCAUGGCAAGCCUAACAGAAUUGGUUUAUUUGGACAUGUCAUCAAAUAUGUUUAAUGGUUCGAUUGAUUCCAUUUACUGGGGAAACCAUGUUAGUCUCCAAUCUUUAUUUUUGGAGUCAAAUUUACUCACUGGUACUAUCCCGUCAUCUAUCUUUUCUCCUCCCCCUUUGCUGGUACUGACACUUUCCCACAACCGAUUCUCUGGUCAACUCCAUGAAUGUUCUAAUGUCUCGUCCCAGUUAUCUUUGCUAGAUUUGAGUUCCAACAAUUUGGAAGGACCAAUACCUGCCUCUAUAUCUAAUUUUCAAGAGCUUGCAUAUCUUCGUCUUUCUUCAAACCAUUUCAAUUCGUUUCCUUCCAAUGGUCAUCCUUGUCAAUUUGAAGAGUUGUAUUUGGCUUUUAACAAUUUGAGAGCAGUCCCAGAUAUCUUGAGAUAUCAAACCAGCAUAAGAAGAUUGGACCUUUCAGGUAACCAGAUUCAAAAAGUACCCAAUUGGUUUUGGAGCCUCCAUUUGCUCGAUUACCUAAAUCUUUCUUCCAACUACUUGGUAACUCUAGCAGUUCCUUUUAACUAUACAAAGGAAUUCUCCACACUUGACCUUCAUUCUAACCAACUCAAGGGGUCCAUCCCACUAUUGCAUGCCAAUUAUCUGGAUUACUCAAGCAAUCAUUUCACUUCUAUACCGACUAACAUUGGUGAUUUCCUCAAUCCCUCCACUAAGUUCUUAUCUAUUUCGAGCAAUGAUUUGCAUGGGCUCAUUCCAUCAUCAAUAUGCAAUGUAAUUCCUUUGGUAAUUCUUGAUUUGUCCAUUAUUUCUCUGAGUGGUACGAUUCCCCAAUGCUUGUCUGCUAUGAGCCACCUUGAAGUGCUUAACUUGAGGCGAAACAAUCUUACUGGAAGUAUUUCUGAUUUCAAAUUUUUUGAAGAUUGUGACUUGGUGUCUCUAGAACUCAAUCAGAAUCAAUUACAUGGUCAAUUUCCAAAGUCUCUAGCCAAAUGCAGUAACUUACAGGUUGUAAACCUCGGAAACAACUAGAUAACAGAUACCUUUACAUGCUUGUUGAGGAACAUCCCACCUUGCGUGUCCUUAGUUUGCGGUCCAACAAACUUUAUGGACGCAUUGGAUGUCCCGACGAGAGCUAUGGAACGUGGCCAGUGCUACAAAUCAUAGACGUAGCUCACAACAAUUUUCAUGGAGAAAUACCAGGAAGGUAUUUGAAAACCUGGCAGGCAAUGAUAAAUAACGAAGGUGAUGACCCGUCAGCAGUCCACGAGCUUUAUUCUGAAGAUAGUAGUUUGAAUGGUUAUCAUCAGACAAUAACAGUCAUAAGGAAAGGUUUUGAAGUCGAACUGGUAAAGAUUCUAACUAUCUUCACCACCAUUGACUUCUCUUGCAACAAUUUUAGCGGACCAAUUCCUAAGGAAAUGGGAGAAUUCAAAUCACUAUAUUUCCUCAACUUGUCAAGUAAUGCUUUUACUGGUGAAAUCCCAUCGUCAUUUGGCAAAAUGAGACAACUCGAGACCUUAGACCUGUCGCAAAACAAGCUGAGGGGGAAUAUUCCAUUGCAGUUGGCAAACCUUACUUUCCUUUCAUUCUUGAACCUCUCAAAUAAUCAAUUGGUUGGCAGGAUCCCAACCGGUCCUCAGUUUUCAACAUUUACAAGUGCAUCAUUUACAGGUAACAAAGGAUUAUGGGGGCCUCCUUUAACAGUAGAUAGCUUGUCACCACCACCAACAUUGACUGGGAGUGUUCCGAGUUCUGGAAAUGAGAUUGAUUGGGGUCUUAUCAAUGUUGAAAUUGGAUUUGUAUAUGGCUUUGGAGUUGCAGUCGGGUCACUUGUAUUAUGCAAGAGAUGGAGUAAAUGGUAUUACAAAACAAUGUAUAAAAUCUUUGUAAAGAUAUUCCCUCAUCUUGAAGAUAGAAUUGGUCCUCACCGAAGACAUGUCCACAUAAAUCAAAGGUUGGGACGCUGAAAUUAACGAUCAUGGCGACCAAUGCAGCUGGAUUUCAAGCUAUGCCUGGGAAAUUUGAGAUCCAACAAAUAAGAAGUUUGCUUUUUGGUUUUACCUUAUAAUUUAUGUAUGUUCUAGUUAUAUUUGUAAUAGUUUAUUGUGUAUCUUUAUGCUUUGUUUUCAAUAAAUUUGCUUGUACUGUCGAUGUUCCUAAAGUUAGCGUAAUCUGAUAAGCCCAAAAGAGAGUACCACAUGUUGUUAUGUAUUAUUUGUUCAAACUGGGUAGUAACAUGUCAAGACCAACUCCAUCCAUCAUAAUAUUCUAAAAAAGAAUAUCUUGACUUUGAAUUGCGAUAUGUUUUUAACAUUCUGCCAUUAAUUCAACUCUAAACUCAUCAUAUCUAGUAUACAACACCCAAUGUUUUGUUUUUCACCUCAAUUUGUAACAGAACAAACUCGCUCUUCUUGUUUCAGGAUUUCCUCACCAACUUUUAUGUCUGAGAUUGCAUCAAAAGGCAAAAACCAACCCUCUUAGGUAACAAAUAGAAAUGAAAAACUCAAAUGCUUUUACAAAAAUCAGCGAACUACUGUUCAAGCAGUAUUCUCCCUUUGAUGCCUGAGCAUUGUUCUAAAAAUCCCCGCCUAGGCGUUAGGCGGCUGGCCAUUGCCCCGAUUAAUGCCUAGGCGGAUGAGGCACCCGAACCCACCCAUAUUUGCCUAGGCACCUGCCUAGGUUGCGACUCACUUAGACAGAAAAUAAAUAACUUUCGAUUUGCAUUUAUUUAUUUUUUCGAUAAAUUGUAAGAGACUUAUUGAAUACUAGCACACACUCGAUGCUUGUUUCCCAUGUUUUCAUUAUGUUCCGAUACUUCAUAAUACAUAUGUCAUUCUAUUUUGUAGUUGAUGAUGAAAUUAUAUUUAUUAAGUAUAAACAAACACUUAUUUACACGAAAUAUAAUGGAUUUACUUAAAUCCGCCUAGGCACCCGCCUAGCCACCUAGGCGCUAGGCCUCAGCCCGCCACCCGACUAGCGCCUAAUGUCUUUUAGAACCUUGUGCCUGAGCACAACGGAAAGUUAAGAAACCCUACAAGGGCUUACAAGAGUUAAUCACUCGCCCUAUUGUUAACUGGUUUUACAAUGAACAUCAACUUCAAUUUUAGGACAAUCUCUAACUUGUAUUUUAAGACUUUUAGCUGACAAAGGCGAAGUAUCUAUCGCGAUGAUUAGGUCUUCCCUAUUAACUCUUAACUACUAAAAGAGAGGGUUAACACUUAACUACUAAAGGAUUUGAAUUGGGUUUGUUCCUCUGUGAGAGACUUAAUUGAAGGAAGUUACCCCGAUAAAUCCUCCACCAUAUCAUAGUUACAUACAACAUGAGCAUACACAAACCGUUCUGUUUUUCUUCCACCUAUAAUGGUAUUUGUAUUUGGUCGACUAUAUAUUGGCUUAGUCAGUCAAAAACUAAUAUAGGAGAAACAUGUAGAUUGCAGAUAUGCCUAGACUACUUCAAAGUCAAUCAAAUCAUAAACCUGAGUAAUGCAUGUAAGGUGGACUAAUACAACAUGGUUCUAGGAUAACAAUUUAACAUGCAUCAAGAUAAUUACAAGAAGAAGAUGCAUGAUACUAACCUGCACCGAUUGGAGACAUGGUGGCUUGAGUUCACAGGUUGUCUUCUACUUCCAGUACUUCAAAAUGUCUCUCUACCGUGAAUAGGGUUUGGCGUGAUUGAGAGUAUAAGCGUAUGGAAGCAGGGACUUAACCAUAAUAUUUAUAUCAUUAGGGUUUAAUCACAACCAACCUAUUAUUGGUUGUGAAAGUCAAACCCUAUCACUUAAGUGUUUAAGUCCCACCAUGAUACUGUAUCUUUGUAGUGAAAUCCAUCAGAUUUCUUUUAGGUCAAUUGCAAAGGCUAAGACUCCAUAAUCCUUAUUUCAUUUGGACUAUCAGAUUACUUAAUUUGUUAACAACUCAAUAAACAAGUGGUCUACAACAUAAGUAAUCCAAUACAUCAUUCAUUGUCAUUCACAACCUUACAAUGCACUGAAGAUUUCUGCUCUGGAAUCUCUGACGCUCAGGGAAUAAGCAAAAAGCAUGCAACAAAGCCUCCAAUGUUAAACCUGAAAUAACAACAGUAUAUCAAGUUUAAUUUUCUUUUCACUGGAAAUCAUACAAAAGAAUCAAGCAAGCCCACCGAACCAAUGUUUAGUAUAGUUGUAGCUAGGCACUGACUCAUUCAAGUGUGUUUAUAUGGAAGCUAAUCUAAAUUAUUUGUUCAAUUUAUCUGGUUAGUAACAUGUCCAGACCAACUCCAUGCAUCAUAAUAUUCUUCAACUGAAUCUGGACUCGUUCGAUGUAUUAUAUGGAAGUCAGCAAAAUUAUGGAGAUGAGAUUGAUUGGGAUCUUAUCAGUGUCGAAAUUGGAUUUGCAUUUGGGUUUGGAAUUGUUGUCGGGUCAUUGUUUUGUGAAAAAGAUGGAGUAAACGGUAGUGUGAGCUUGAUCUGUUACAAUUUUAUAAUUUGAUGUCGAAAGUUUUUAAAAGGUAGAAAAGAACGACAUAUUCAGGAUCAAAUUUUUCAUAAUGUUUUUUAAUCUUCUUUUCGAUACAAGAAUCAGCAUUACUCACUAUCGAAAUGAUAUAUUCUUGAACAAAUUUUCAAAAGUACGGAAUUUGACACAUAAAAUACAAAUCAUAAAACUAAAAUGGUGCUCAACAGAAGACAGAAUUAAACAAAAAAGGUGAUACAAGCAACAUUAAAUUAAACAGUUUUACUUAAUCGAGCUUCAUUUGACUGACUCUUCGCUUUUUCUUUUUUUUUAGGCCUUGGUUCUUAGCUUUUGCUUUUGUGGUUCUCCUCUUUGUUUGCAUUGCUGAUAUCAUGAACAUUUACUCUGUUUUAGCUUUGAUUUUUCUGGACGAAGACUUCCUAGUCAAGCUAAACAACGACAAAUCUAAUGGAGAUAUUUUCCCCAACAUUAAAGCCGGCACCGCAUCAAUACAAGCUGAGCGGGGAAAUCCCUUCGUAUCGUGGUGAGCAAUAUUAUUUUUCCAUCACUAAUCACAUUAAAAUAAUAAUAUGUCCUUUUCCAAAAAUUGACUUCCAAUUCAAGAUGCACGACUUAACAAUGAUUUCACAUUAUAAAAUUAGGUAAUGUUUAUGUUACGUAACGAUUCAUUUGUGUUGUUGUAUACUAGAGGGGAUCAGUCAAGGGAUAAACUAUCAUACGGCUUCGUGAACUUUGUCAAAUUGCAAUGGAGUUGAAUCUCCUUAAAAAGAGUGAGAUACACGUGUCUCAACCUAAUAGUUUACGUGCUUCUUAGAAAAAUAUUACAAUUUUCUUGUACUUUUCCUGACAAAAAAUAUAUAGUAUUUCUAAUUUUCUAUCAAGUUACUUGCCUGGCCAGAAGACUGGGUCACUGGAGCACAGCUGCUUAUUUCAAUUUAAGCCAAUUUCCUCCAGUGACUUUGAAUUAGUCGCUUCAAACCUUUUUUUCCUGGUUCGAGUCGGAGAAAAUUAUUUUAAUGGUUUAAGACUUCAAAUUCGUUUUCUCCAUCAAAUUAUUUAGAAUACAUUUGAUAAUUACUUUUUAUUUUUUAUUUUAAUGGUUUAAGAGCCAUACAUAAUAUACAUAUAAACAAGUCAAUCCCCUUGAGUCACUUCAGAUUUUAAAAGUGAUAGAUUUGAUAGGAUUUAAGAGGAUUAAAGAUUCAUACAAAAUUCAUAUGGAUUUGAAUGGAUAGUUUGUAGAUUUUGGUGGAUUGUGAUGGAAGGAUUUGAAAUCCUAGGGGGUGAGGUUGGAUUCCUUUUAGCCUUGGUUACAUAUAGAAAUCCUUAGAAAUCCUUUAAAAUCCACAACUUAUAGAAAUCCCCCAAAAUUUGAAUACACUUAGAUUUGGAUGAAUUUUAAAAUCCUUUAAAAUCUUUUAAUUGACUACACCUAGAUUUUAAUGGAUUCUAAAAUCCUUUAAUUGACUACACCUAUAUUUUAAUGGAUUCUAAAAUCCUUUAAAAUCUUUUAAUUUACUAAACUAGGAUUUUAAAGUCUUUUAGAAUCCUCUCAAAUACAAGUUUGACUACACCCAAUACGUUUGAUAAUUACUUUUUUUUUAAAAUUAAAAAUAGUUACUAAAUGAAUUUUUAAUUUAAAAAAAGAUAAAUAAAAAAUAAAAACGAAAUAGUUAUUAAAUAACCUCUUAAAGCUUAAAAAUCAUUUUAUUUAUUAUUUUUAGUUUUCACUUUUUGUACUUAAGAUAAGGGAAAAUAAGAGAUGGACUGGUUACAAAUGUAGAUGUUGUGCAACUGGCUGUGCGGAACUGAGAUCCAAAUUACAUCUACAUCACAACAAACCACAGUUGAAUAAAAUGGGGCCCUGUGUGAAAAUUAAAACGGGACCCUUUCACACACAAGACUUAUUUUUUUGUGUUUAAAACAAUUUUUUUCCUUCUAUGGUAUAUUUAGAGCACUUUGAAAGUUGGGCAAUCCCCUAUGGGGUAGGCUAUUCAAUGCCCCAAUCCCUCCAGCAAUUGGCUCCAGCCCAAUCCAAUCAGCUAGGCUUCAGGCGAGCUUGAACUGUCCACCAGGCCGAAAUCCAUGGGUAUAGCCCCCAAGCUGACGUCAACUAUUAAAAAAUUAUAAAAUAUUAAUAAAUUAAAUAUAAAUACAAAAAAUAUAAUUUUUCUAUAAAUACCUAAACUUUCUUCAUAUAUCAAGCACAAAAAAGUGAAAACCAAAGUCAAUGAAAUGGUUAUCAUGAAAUGCUUUAAUUCACUUGUAGAAUUAAACACUAUUUCAUUAAUUACCCCACCUGUAGAUUUGUAAAAGAGAUACUUAAUCAUAGUUUGAAAGUGCCUUUAAAAUAACUGAAAGUACUUUUAAAGAAAAUGUUUUUAAGUUCCAAAAGCACUUGAAGUGUUUUUUGGGUCGAAGAAGCACCACUUGAAGUGUUUUUUCCAAAAUUCACUUGCGUUUUUACUAAUAAUUAAUUCUAGAAAUAUUUUUACUAAAAAAACUUUCUGUUAUUUUAAAAUCACUUCUAAACAAGCUAUUAAAUAAAAUCGAGAAGAUAAUACAUGUAUCUGAACGUGGGGAACACACUCCCUUGCGUGAAGUUUUAGCCCCUCUCUUGUCAACAUUGAAAAAACAACCCACAAUUUAAACCCCACAAGGAAUAUGGGGAAAGACUUUGAAGUCAACAAGUCAAGCAAACCUCAAAUUUGGUAGAAACCAUCAACCAUGUUUUUCUCAGAGUCUCUAAGAGUCAUACAUACACACGUCAAUCCAUUUGAGUCACUUCAGUUAUUUAGAAUCCGUUUCAUAAUUAUUAUUAUUAUUUUUUAUUUUUUAAAUUAAAAGUAGUUACUAAAUAAGUUUUUAAUUUUCAAAAAAAAAAAAACGAAAUGGUUAUUAAACAGCCUAUUGGAGCUUGGAAAUUAUUUUAUUUUUUUGUUCGUAGUUUUCACUUUUUUGUACUUGAGAUAAGGAAAAAUGGGAGAUUAAAUGGUUAUACAUGUAGAUGUUGUACAAUUGGCUAUGCAAAGCUGAAAUUUAAAUUACAACCAUAUCACAACAAACCACAGUUUAAUAAAAUGGGGCACUGUGUGAAAAUUAAAAUGUGGCCCUUUCACGCACAAGACUUGUAACGCCCCGGCUUCAAAAUAUUUAUUUUCGGGAAAAACAAUUUCUAUGGUAGGCCCACAAUUGAUAUAUAUGUCUUAUCCACGAUCAUUCACCACAAUUCUCUCUAAAAAGCCUUGAUUCCACCAAUGGCUCUUAAUUAAAAAUUCCUUAUCAAAUGUACAAUUAAAUUUCUAUUUUAUCACCAAGUCCUUUACAUGGACAAAUUUCUAGAUUUCAACACUAAUUCUCAAAUUUCUUAACCUUACUUGAUUUAUGGCUGCAUCUAACAUCUUAUUAGACUGCCUACGUACCCUGAACAGGGAUCAAGCCAUUUGUAGUUCAUAAUUCAAUAUUUUCCAAUUUCCGAACAUAAUCUCUAAUCCACCAUAUUCAUAUCAACCGUUACAACCCAGUUCAUCUCAAAUGGGUACCAAUAAAGAUUCAGAAUAUCGAAACUUACAUGAAAAAUGGCAACGUCGGCUCCCUGGGCGUGAGCCGCCGCACCCGCCGCCGCCAGUGGUGGUCGGCCGCCUCGAAUUGCCGGAAAAUUCCACUAUUUCUAAAAAUUCUCAUAAAAAUACAUAAAUAAAGAUCUCAAAGAGUAGAGCAAACUUUAUACCUGUGGUCAAGUCCAAUUUGGCCUGGAAAGGCUCCAAUUUGAUUCAAACCCGCCGGAAACCCUUGAAUUUGGGUAUUUUUGAUUCGACUCCAAAGCUACUCCGACGCCUCAACCAUUACUUGGGCUUUGUUCCAGGCUUCAAGACGAAUCUAAUGGUGGUGGUAAUUUAAUGAAAUCGUUUCGGAUUUGGGUGAUUCGAACACAACACCACCGCACCCUACCGUGUGGAUUCACCCAUUUUCAAGGCCAAAACCCUUGAUUUUUGAGGUGUAAGAGGAAGAGGGAAGGUUAUGGGGAGGUUUUCAAUUGACUUUUUCGUGGAAUUCACUGGAAAAACCGUCGGAAAAGCCGAAUGGGUAGCUGGGGUUCACGGGUCCGUUCGACCCGACCCCUUUUCCCCUUCUUCCUUUUUCUCUCCUUUCCCUCAUUUCUUUCUCCUCCCAUUGGUCCUGCCCCCUCCUUUCUCUCAUUUCCCUCAUUUCUCUUCUUUCCUUUUCAUCCCAACCGUCCAUCUCAUUUUUUUCUUAUUUUCUUUUCAUCUCAGCCACACAAGUGGCACACCACAGAUUCCAGAAAAUCUGGAAUGUUCCCACUAGAUGUCAAAAUGACUAGUUUACCCUCCACUUCUAUCAUUAAUAUCUUCCUCGUUAUAACUUCAUUUCACGAACUGUUCACGCCUACGCGUUCAUGAGAUCGAGCUCUAUCCAAAAUAUAAAUUGUGACCUCAAAGGGUCUACGGGUUUUAAAUAAUUAAUUUCCAAACUUUAAACCUCGUAACCAGUUUAAUUGAAAACUAAACUCAAUUGAAUUUAUAUAAAUUCUCGAUUCUUUUCACAUAUCCAUAAUUAUGAAUAUCCAAUUCAUAUAUUUAAAUUUUAUAUCAAAUUCAUAUAUUUAAAUUUUAUAUCAAAUUCAUAUAUUUAAAAAUUUCAGGGUAUUACAAGACUUUUUUUUGUGUGUUUAAAAGAUUUUUUUUCUUCUAUGGCAUAUUUAUAAAAGUACAAAACUUAGUCUGAAAGUCAACUUUGUAACACAAUAUCUUCUACUAAAUAAUUGAUAUAGAAGAAUUUAAGGGAAGGUAUAUGUUAAACAAAUGAAGUUUUUAACAAAGAAAAAAUAUAUAAAAAGAUACAGUAUUUUUAAAACAGAAAACCAUUUGGGUAUUUUUCAAAUUUGUACUUAGUUAAGUUAUGCAUAUAUAGUUUUUUUUUUUUUUGGAAUAUAUAAAAUUGAAAUAUAUAUGGAAGCUAAUCUAAAGUAUUUGUUCAAUUUAUCCAGUUAGUAACAUCACUUUAAUCGCUUUUGUAGAAUGCCGCUUCGAACCAAAAAAUUAAACAUGAUUUCAUUAAUUACUUCACUUGUAGCCUUGUAGAAGAGAGACUUAGACCUCGUUUAGAGGUGCUUUUAAAAUUAUUGAAAGCGUUUUUAGAAAAAAAAUGUUUUUGGGUCUCAAAAACACUUGAAGUGUUUUGUGGAAGAAGCAUCACUUCAAAUGAUUUUCCAAGAUUCAUUUUUGUUUUUAUAGAAUAUUGAUUCUAAAAACAUUUUUUUUCUUAAAACGCUUUUAAUUGUUUUAAAAAUACUUUCAAACAAGUUUUUAUAUGAAACUAGGAGUAUAACGCAUGUAUCUGAACGUGGGGUAUACAUUGUUUCGUGAAGUUUUAGCCCCUCUGUAGGGGCGAAAUUUUACCCUCUCUUUUCCACUCAGUGGUCUGUCAGCAUUGAAUAAAACAACCUACAAUUUAAAAUUCUUCAUACAUACAUACAUUACCAUCACCACGAUAAGGGAUACGGGGAAAGACUUUGAAGUCAACAAGUCAAGCAAACCACAAAAUUAUACCCGCUAUACAUACCCAUCACCACGUUUUCUGUAGUAUGGCUCGCUUAAGUUAACGAAUUUUUAAUUUUUGAAAAAAAAUAAAAAAUGAAAAUAGAAUGAUUAAUAAAAUAUAGGACAAUUGACGCGUGAGAACUAUAAUUUGGACUAUGAAGAACUUUAUAAAAUAUAGGACAAUUGUUACACAUUCGGAUAAACAAAGCGCAUAAACACACGUUCACAGUUCAACUUCAUCAUGGUUUCAGCUGAGCUUAGAUAGUCAUUUCGGUUUGUAUUGACUGACUAUGUAUUGCCUUAGUCAGUCAAUAGCCACUGGAAAAUGAGGAUAGGAAAGCAACGCAGUCAGACUAGAACGCCAUGUUGUAUUAAAAAUAUCUAGAAAUCAAUUAAACUUUAUCAAAAGUCAUGAAUUGAGACAAUCAAGACUUCAAAAUCAACGUCAACCAAUAAAACCAAGAUUUUUUUUUUGAAAUGUUAUAUGAAAUUAUACACCUUCAAUUUAUCAUAUAUGAACUAAAAUUUUAAACGAUUUGUUAUACCAACUUUCUGAAUCAUUAAUUUUUCAUCUAACUCUAACUUCGUUAAGUUUUUCAUUCAAAAUAACUCAUGUGCAAGGCACCCAUAACUUAUGUUCAGGAGUAAUUUUAGACAUUUCAACGAGUGUCGCCCUCACUUCUCCCUUUGCAUUUAAUAACCACAAAAGGCAUCAAAAUGCCUUUCAUUCGUCUCUGCUUUUUAGGCACACACCCCAUUUUACUUCUCACACACUUUUUUAAAUUUCAGCCGUUGGAUCGGAUAAAUUGAAGAAGAUCUAACGGACAGAAAUUAUCAAGGGUGUGUGAGAAGUAAAAUGAGGUGUGUGGAUAGCACACCCCUUCCUUUUAUUCUAGUCUGCUUUUCUUUUAGCUGUGCAGGGAAAACAACAUUCUAUUUCAUUUGAACCACGUUAUUAUUAGUUCAUUAUAACUUUAAAUUUAAAAUUUCUCUUUAGUAUAUCAUUUGUUCAAAAAUAAAAAUAAAAACUCAUAAGAGUAUAUUUCCAAAUUUAUUGAGGUCAAGGGAUCUCAAUGCACCUUUGUUGGCUUUGCUAAUGAAAACAUUGCAAAGUACGUGAUUUAUUUUAGAUGGAAAAUUUAAUAGAGUUGGUAUGACAAAUCGCUUAAAUAUUAGUUCAUAUGAUAAAUUUAAAAAAAAAAGUGUAAAAAUUCCUAUAACAUUUCAAAAAAAAAAAAUCCUAAUCUAACAAUUCUACAGUGCCAUAUAUAAAUCCAAGUAUAUUAAUUAGUAUAUUUCAUGCGACAAAUUUCCACUUGCCACAUUGCCUAAAGUAGUACUACAAUUACUCUUAAGCAAUAAUAUUUCGCUAUUGAAAAACAACCCACAAUUUAAGCCCCACAAGGAAUAUGGGGAAAGACUUUGAAGUCAACAAGUCAAUCAAACCAUAAAUUUGGUAGAAACCAUCACACACGUCAAUCCGCUUGAUAAUUAUUAUUUAGAAUCCGUCUGAUAAUAAUUAUUUUCUUAUUUUUAUUUUUUAAAAUUAAAAGUAGUUAUUAAAUAAGUUUUAAAUUAAAAAAAUGAUAAACGAAAAAUAAAAACAAAAUGAUUAUUAAACAGCCUAUUGGAGCUUGGAAAUUAUUUUAUUUUUUGUUUGUAGUUUUCACCAUUUUGUACUUGAGAUAAGGGAAAAUGGGAGAUGAAAUGGUUAUACAUGAAAAUGUUGUGCAAUUGGCUGUGCGGAACUGAAAUUCAAAUUACAACCACAUCAUAACAAAUCACAGUUCAAUAAAAUGGGGCACUAUGUGAAAAUUAAAAUGUAGUCCUUUCACGCACAAGACUUUUUUUUUGUGUGUUUAAAAGAUUUUUUUUUUCUUCUAUGGCAUAUUUAUAAGUACAAAACUUAAUCUGAAAGUCAACUUUGUAACACAAUAUUUUCUACUGAAUAAUAGAUAGAGAAGAAUUUAAAGGAAGGUAUAUGUUAAAGAAAUGAAGUUUUUAACCAAGAAAAAAAAUAUAUAUAAAAAGAUACAGUAUUUUUAAAACAGAAACCAUUUGGGUAGUUUUCAAAUUUGUACUUAGUUAAGUUAUGCAUAUACAGUUUUGUUUGGAAUAUAUAAAACUGAAUAUAUAUCCCUGUUCCUUCGGGACCCCCACAGCCGACACUGAGUAAGACCAAAUUGGUCUUUGGCUCACACGCCAUUACACAUUCUAUAAUUACAAAGAAGAAUAACUAGGGACCUGCCUAUUACAUUUGGUCACAUUUGGUCACAUAUCAGCAACAACUUCCGAUGAAAACUCCUCUGCUUUCAUGGCUUUUCUUACUCCGCAUUUGCUAUGUUUCACUCACCUUCCAUACGUUUGUGGUCUCUACCCAAUGUCCCGGCGAUCAGCAAUCUUUGCUGCUGCAAUUGAAGAACACCCUCACAUUUGACCCUGCAACGUCUCAAAAACUUGUGAACUGGAAGAAUGGAUCGGAUUACUGCUCUUGGGAAGGAGUGUCCUGCAAAGAGGGUUGUGUUUCGAAUCUGGACUUGAGCAACGAGUGGAUUACUGGUGGACUUGAUAAUUCCAGUCCUCUUUUCGGUCUGAAGUCGAUCGAGAACCUGAACUUGGCUAACAACUCCUUCAACUACACUCAGAUUCCUUCCGAGUUCAAGCAGCUAACCGGUUUGCAUAACCUGAACUUGUCGUGUGCUGGCUUUGCGGGGCAGGUUCCGAUU